GGUUUGGGUCCGAAUCUGGAUUUUGGUCCGGAUUUGGAAACUAUUUUGAACCCUACCUAUUAAAAAAUCUGGUUCUAGAUCAAGUUGGAUAUGAAUAUAAAGUAUUUGAAUCCAUACCUGAAAUUUUUAUUAUUUUUUUUACCCGUACUAUACAUUUUUUAUUGGGUUCGGAUACGGUCCAGAUUGGAAAUGAAAUAUCAGGUAUUUUGGAUAGCUCUACAUAACAUAAUCUAUUGAUUAAAAUAUCAUGAUAUACAGUAAAUAAUAUAGUCUUAAAACAAUACCAAGAAAAAAAAUUAAGAUUAAAAUUUUACAGAUAGAUAAAAUAAAAUAAGUAUUUAUUUAUUUUAUUAAAAAUAUAUAUAUAUUGGUGUACACAAAUAGUCUAAAUAUUUAUAAUUUAACGAAUACCUAUUUGUUUUAAUGAUAACUUCACAUACCACCUCGGUACUUUCACACUUUCUCACUUUAGUAUCUUAUGAUUUAAAGUAUAUCAAUUUAGUGUCCGGUGGUUUUUUUUUUUUUUUUAUUAUCUAUUUUACUUAUUUUUUUCAUUAAAUCAGUAACAAAGUUAAAAUUAAAGGGUACAAAAGUAAAUAUUUGAUAAACUUAGAUGGGUAUCUAAAGUUUUUUUAUAUAUAAUUUAACGAAAUAUUAACGAAAAAAUUGAUAAAAAGAUAAAAAUGAAAUCACAGGAUACUAUCUUAAUACACUUUAAACUACAAAAUACUAAAGUGUGAAACUACAAGAGUGGUAUUUGAAAUUUGGGAAAACUUUAAAUACCUCCCUGUGGUUUCGCACUUUCUCACUUUAGUACCCUGUGGUUUAAAGUGUAUCAAGUUAGUACCCUGUGGUUUCGCACUUUCUCACUUUAGUACACUGUGGUUUCAAGUGUAUCAAAGUUAGUAUCCUGUAGUUUUAUUUUUGUAUCAAGUUAGUACCAUGUGGUUUCAAUUUUUCCUUUCUAUUAUCCAUUUCGGGUAUAUAAUUUAACGAAAUAUUAAACCACAAAAUACUAAAGUGAGAAAGUGCGAAAGUGCGGAAUCACAUGGUACUAAUUUGAUACACUUUAAACCACAGGAUAUUAAAGUGAAAAAGUGCGAAACCACAGAAUACUAAUUUGAUAUAUUUUAAACCACAGGGUACUAAAGUGAGAAAAUGCGAAACCAUAGGGUAGUAACUUGAUACAUUUUAAACCACAGAGUACUAAAAUAAGAAAGUGCGAAACGACAAGAGUGGUAUUUGAAGUUUCCCCUUGAAAUUUAUCCUCGAUUUUAUUACACAUAAAAUAGAGUCGAGUACUUUUGCACUGCAAAUUUGCGGAUACGAUAGAUCUCGCCGGGUCUAGUCCCACCACCUCUCGAGUCUCAACUUCUUAGGAGCGCCGUUCGCACCCAUUUCCCUGCAGCGACCCAAGCAUAUAUGAGGUUUCGACCUUUCCUUUCUCCCCUCCACACCCGGCCGUGUCAAAACCCUCGCCACCGAAACCCUCACCGCUCCUCCUUCCUCUCCUUAAACCCUAGCUCCUCCUCCUCCAUGACCACCGGAGCCCGCCCCCUGCCCUGCGACCCCGAGGAGGACCCCGACGAGGCGAUCUGCGCCGCCCUCGACGGCGCCUGCUCCCUCUCCGACGCGGCGGGGCCGCCGCCGGGGCCCACGGAGAUCCCGCUCUCCGGCGAGCUCCGCGUAGCGCGCGCCUGGGCCCAUUGGAGGCGGAUCGGCGCCCCGAGGCUCGUGGUGGCGCCCAUGGUGGACAACUCCGAGCUCCCCUUCCGGAUGCUCUGCCGCAGGUACGGCGCCGAGGCCGCGUACACGCCGAUGCUCCACUCGAGGAUCUUCUCCGAGAACGAGAAGUACCGUAGGAUGGAAUUCACCACCUGCAAGGUGAGAUAUAAUAUAUUUUUGAUGCUUGGGUUUGGAUACAUGUUGACUGGUUAGGGUUUUGUUUUGAUCAAUUAUUAUAUAAUAGAUCAAACACUAACUAAAAGGCAUCUCCUUCUUUACUGAAGCUAUCCAAUUUGAUAGUUAAUGAGACAAAUUAUUCAUUUUAUACGAUUCUACUCCAUUGAGCAUAAAUAUUGUCAUAUGUUAACUAAUUUCCAUAAAGCUUUCAUCCGAGUUUAGCAUUCUUCCCAAAAUUUUUGGGCCUAUGUGACAUAAGCUGGAAAUUAAAGAAUUUUUUUAUUUUAUUUUAUGCAGAGUGAUAAUUUAGACAAAGGCUAAAAUGCAAGGUGUUUCUUUUUUAAUUUAGCCCAAUUUUUAAGUUCUUAUGAAAAAAAUUAGGCCUGGGAAUACUUACUGGUCUUUUAAUCAAGUUAGAUGUCACUUUUCCUACAGGAUUUGUGGUGUCAGAUACUGUAGGCUCACAAGUUGUGUUCUUUGGAAGAAUAGGUUUUGUGAACUAUUUUCCCUCAUAUGUGAAUUUAUUGAUUUGCCGAUCACUAGCAGCUUAAUGACAAUACCACAUUCAUUAUCAUGCCAAUUUAUUGUGUUGCGCAGGUGUUUAUUUCAUAUAUAUAUAAAGAUGUGAUAGGGCUUAGCUAAACAUAGUAUAUGAGCACUAACUUCAAGAUGUUGUUUUAUCUGCUAAUACAUGCAGGAGGAUCAUCCACUAUUCGUCCAGUUCUGUGCAAAUGAUCCUGACAUAUUGUUGGAAGCAGCAAAAGUGGUGGAACCUUACUGUGAUUACGUCGACAUAAAUCUAGGGUAAUUUGUGAUAUUUCAUGUUUCUCAAUGCAAGUAACUAAUAUGUACUCCAGUAAAUGGCAAGAAUAUAGAAGCAUACAAAGAAUUUUUUAUGUCAUAAAUAGUUAAGCUAUUCAUUAAUGAUCGGGGGAACAUUACUGACUACCAUCUUUGGCUAUAUUAUUAUCAAUUUUAGAUGAUGAACGAAUCUUAAUGUUUGCUUUUUACGACAUAUCAUUAUACUCUGCAAUUAACAUUUGUACUAUUAUAUCUAGCUUAGGAACAUCCAUUGAAUUAUCCCAUUGGCCAUAAAAGGACAUGAGGCUCUGCGUUCUAUGCCGCUGUUUCUUAAACUUGAAAGCAACUAAGGUAUAAGGCCCUAAAUACCCUACUAACUGUAGUAGCUUGACCAAAAUGGAUCUAACAAAUAUAAUAAGUCCAAAAUCCUUAAUGUAUGAGUAAGCUAGUGUUAGUUAUCUAUUUCUUUGUGCAACAUGUUGUGAAAUGUUAUCGUAUUUCAAAAUUUAUCUGACAGUAUUUUCAUUAGCAUGUUUAGCUGGUCUUUCUGUAUACUGCUAACCUGACUAUAAGAUAAUCAGUGAUUAAAAGCUAUUAUAAUUUCCUUCAUUUACUGUAUCUGUUUUCUCUAACCUUGCAGUUGCCCGCAGAGAAUUGCCAGGCGAGGCAAUUAUGGGGCUUUCCUCAUGGACAACCUCCCUCUCAUCAAAUCCCUCGUCCAGAACCUCUCGAUAAACCUCCAUGUCCCAGUUUCAUGCAAGAUACGGAUUUUUCCGAGCCUAGAAGAUACGAUAGCAUAUGCAAAGAUGCUUGAAGAGGCCGGAUGUUCUCUCCUAGCCGUCCAUGGCCGUACUAGAGACCAAAAAGAUCAGAAGAAAAUCCAAGCCGAUUGGGAUGCUAUAAAGGCUGUUAAAGAUGCCCUUAAAAUACCUGUCCUCGCAAAUGGAAACAUUCGCCACAUGGGAGAUGUCUAUAGCUGUUUGGAUCACACAGGUGCCGAUGGUGUGCUUUCAGCUGACUCUCUUCUUGAAAAUCCAGCACUUUUUGCUGGAUUUAGAACAAUGGAGUGGAAGGAGGAAGAAGAUGGUGAUGGUGGUUUGGAUCAGGCAGAUUUGGUGGUAGAGUAUUUGAAGCUGUGUGAGCAAUAUCCUGUGCCUUGGAGAAUGGUAAGGUCUCAUGUUCAUAAAAUGUUAGGGGAUUGGUUUAGGAUGCAUCCCCAGGUGAGGGAGGAGCUCAAUGCUCAGUCCAAGUUGACUUUCGAGUGGCUUCAUGAUAUGGUGAAGAGGCUCAAGGAGCUUGGUGGAAGAAUUCCGCUUUAUCAGAAGGGUGGUGCUGAAGAGAGAAUAAUGGCAAAUGGACAUGCAGCUUACAAUUCAUGAUCCUUAUAAACAUGUUGGUUUUUUGAUUGCUUGUUGUCUUGCAGCACGUAUAGAAGUUAACAGUAUUCGGGCAUCAAUUAAAAUCAGGCACCCAGAGCCAGAUUUUUUGCUAAAUUAUUUACUGAUGUAUACUUUGAUCCUUGUGGUAGAACCCAGAGACAGCCAAUUAUGGGUUUACGGAAGCGAACACAUUCUCCUUACUGAUUUACAUUCACCUGCUGUUUAGUAACAACAUUGGGAGCAGGCCCACGGAAUCAAAUUAGAUCACACAGAAAUUUUGUUAAAUUGGGAGUGAUUUUUUUUAAAGCUUGUUGAUCUAGUCACAAUUAUAAUGUCAACACCAUUUUCUUGCCCGGUUCUUGGUUCAGCAUAUUGAGACGGUCAAUGUGAGCAAAUUGUUUACUCCACUGUCUCCAUAAUUUUGAGUUGUCGUUUAAAAGUUUGCCGACGACUUCUCUUUUUUGUGCAAGGAUGUUUCCUUCAUUCUAUGUUGUGCCGCACUUUGCACUAUGUAUCAUUUAUGCUGAAUCCUACGAUCUGCUCUAAUAAGUGAUUUAACAGAUAUUUGUUGUUGUGCAACAUUUUGAGUUGUCAUUUGAAUUAUCUAUUGUUCUUUUCUUCGCCUUACUAGAGGGAGGAUUCAUUCCUUGUUUGUCGACCAUUGUGUAUUUACUUCAUUUGAAGCGGCAAUUCUCUCAUUAGUCAUUAUGGUUUAACACUGCAGAAAUGUUUCUUCAUCAAAUGCUUGCUUUUAUGGCUCUAAUUGUUGAAAGCAGUGAACUGAUUUAACAAAAAGUACUGCUACAGGUACUGCAGAAUGCCUUCUCUUUUGGACUGUUGGUAUGUUGGUAUGCAUGAUGUGGGUAGUCUUUUACACACCGUCCCCAAACGGCAUUAAAUGGGGGUCGGAUUUGUUAAUCUCACUCCUAACGAGUUAUUCCGGAAUAGUUCGUUAAUUUAAAUUUUUAAUUUAUAUUUAUAUUUUAAAAUUUUAAUUCUCAAUUUUUUAAAUUUAAGAAUUUAUAAUCUAAAUUAAUAUUUAUAAUUUUAAAUUUUAAAUUAUUAUUUUUAUUUUUUAUUUACGCCCGUAGUUUCUCAAAUCGUAUCUUUUAGCUGUGGUUGGAAACACAGUGGCACAUUUGGUUUUCAAUUUUUACCAAGCAUUUAUGCAGAUCUUACAGUUGUAGUCUAUUUUGUAAUGUUUAUGACUUCACAAACCACCAAAAAAAAAAAAAAAAUUCUAUUUACAGAUGUACAUAUUUAAUAAGUAUUAUAUUAGUUUAUUAAUAUUAUUAUUAACUGAGAAGAAAAAUAUUUCAGAGAAUCCAAAAUUAUUUUCUAUAUUUUUAGUACUAUAUUAUUUUUUCAAUCAAACAACUAUAUAGAAUUUGGGUUUUUCUGGAAUUCAAAUCCCAAACUCAUUACCCAUUCAUCCGUCCACCCGCCAAAAACCACCACCACCACCGUCGUCCUCUUCACCCCUCCUUGCACGGCGGCAGCGGGUCACCGCAGAGCCCGGCAUUCCCUCUAAACCCCCCGGCUGGCACCCGCGCCUUGUGCGGCGGUAUCGGUCCUGUCAGCCGGUUGUCCGACACAUCGAACGCCUGCAGCCUCGGCAUGUCGAGCAGCCCCCCCGGUAUCCCCCCUUCGAGCCCGUCCCCUGCCAUCCUCAACUCCGUCAACGACGCCAUCUUCGCCAUCGUCCCUGGUAUCCGCCCCCCCAGUUCCGGGUUUCCUGACACCGCGAACCUCUCCGCCGACCCCAUCGCCGCCAAUUCCCCGACGUCCUCGUCCACCCCUCCCGUAAACCGAUUCUUCGAUAGGUCCAGCGUCAUGUAGUACCCUAAUGGGUCGCUCGUUGCCUUUGCGAGCACCGGUCGGAUCGGCCCGUAGAGCUUGUUGUCCGACAGGUCGAGCUCCAUGAGCGUUGCAAGAUUCUUGAAGCUUCCAGGGAUUGCCGACCGGAGCUCGUUGCGCGAGAGGUUGAGGGUGGCGAGCCCUGUCAUGUUUCCGACCCACGGCGGUAACUCGCCGGACAAUUUGUUGCUCGAGAGGUCGAGCUCCCCAAGGGAGGACAUCGCGGCGAGCCAUUCGGGCAUUGGGCCGGAAACGCCGAUCCCGGCGAGAUGUAGCUUGAACAGGCCCGGCAUUUUGCCGAGCCAGCUCGGCAAAGCGGGUUGAUUGAUUGGAUUGAAGGAGAGGUCGAGCAAUUGGAGACUCUGGAGGCCGGCGAUCUCAUCGGGGAUUGGGCCAGUUAGGUUGUUCCGUGAGAGGUCCAGAGUUAGUAAUCGGGCUAAAUUGCCGAUGCCGGAGGGGAUUUUUCCGGUGAACUGGUUGUUGCCGAAGUAGAGGGUGUCGAGUGAGGAGAGGCUCCCAAUCGACUCCGGUAUCUCUCCGGUGAGCUCGUUGCCCAAUAGAUACCACCGCUGCAUGCUCCGGAGAUCGCCGAUCGACGGCGGGAGGCUUCCAGAGAGGCGGUUGCUCGAGAGACGGCAGAAUUGGAGGGACACCAUCUUGGUGAAGGAAUGUGGGAUGGCGCCGGUAAGUCGGUUCUCGGAGAGAUCGAGAGCGGCAAGUUUGGUGAGGUUGCCGACGGAUUCCGGUAUGCCGCCGGAGAUUCGGUUCUUCGAGAGGUCGAGGUCGGCGAGGUUCCGGAGAUUUCCGAUCUCCAUCGGAAUUUUGCCGGUGAGGCCGUUGCUUUGGAGAUCGAGUCUUUCGAGGGCCGAGAGCUUUCCGAUGGACGGCGGGAUAGCGCCGGCGAAUUGGUUUUCAUCGAGGGCGAGGAAUUUGAGGGAGGACGAGGCGAAAACGGAUGGCGGGAUCGCGCCGGAGAGGCGGUUGCCGUUCAGGAGGAGGAAUUCGAGGCGACGGAGGCCGGAGAAGGACGGGGGGAUCGGGCCGGUGAGGCUGUUGCCGGAGAGGCGGAGCUCGGUCAAUAAGGAGAGGCGGCCGAGCGACGGCGGGAGCGGUCCGGUGAGUUUGGCGAGGCCAGCGAGGGAGAGAAUUCGGAGGCCGGUGAGGUUGCCGAGGGCCGGGGAGAGGGUGCCGGUGAGGGUCACGAUUUCGAAGUCUUGCCCGGCGCCUGAUAGGGUGAGGUUGGAGACGUGACCGCCGGCCCCGGCUGGGUCGCAGGUGACGCCGUACCACCCACCGCAGCAGUCGGCGGUGGCGGCGGACGGGUCCCAGGUGCGGAGCAGGCCGUGGGGGUGGGUGGUUAUGNAAUUCGGAGGCCGGUGAGGUUGCCGAGGGCCGGGGAGAGGGUGCCGGUGAGGGUCACGAUUUCGAAGUCUUGCCCGGCGCCUGAUAGGGUGAGGUGAAAGACAGAAGCAGAAGAGUAGGAGGAGGAGAAGAUUGAAGUGGAUGGAGAUGCAGGGAAUGAAAUUGUUUCCCAUGGAAGUUGCUGUAGGAAGUUGCUGUAGGUGUAGAGGUUGAUUAGUUUCUAAUAAGAAUUGGAGUUGGGUGAGAGGAUAUAUAUUAUUCUUUUGGUGCAAUUAAAUUAAAGAACAUUGUUUGGAACAGAAGAGGAAUGAGAUUCAAUGCUUUAUAUGGUAAUAAUACAAUUUGAGUGUGUGUUUGUGUGUGUGUGUGUGUGUGUGUGUGAGUGUGUGAAUAAUGCUUACGAGAAACUCGCAGUGCAGGUGUUCACAUGAAAAGGGUGCGGCAAAUGCAGCGAGGAACGGAAACGGCAGGGUUCUGGAGCUGUGCUCCACACCAGGCUUUUGACUCUGGUUUUGAACUUUGAAGAGUUAAAAAAAGCAACAAAAAUUCAAAUCUCUCUCUCUCACACAGGUUUUUUUUUUAUCAAAAGUUAUAAAACUUAUCCAAAAAUUAUAAAAUUUAGGCACAUUGCUUACUUAAAUGACAGCAUAGUUACGUAAAUAACGAAAAAAAUACUUUUGAUCAAGCAUGGAAUAAACAACGCAUUCAAAUGCUGAAGUAGAAAAGCCAACAGAUGACGCGAAUUAAACUUAUUAAAAGAUCAUUUAUUCUGAUCAAAUCGUUUCGUAGCCACAUGCGCCGCAACAAGCCAACUAUCCACUAUAUCUUAUUUCUUCAAUUUUUCUACCAGUUGAGCUGCAACAUUUUCAAACUUAAUUUAGAAAGUGAAAAGGAUGCAUGAAGACCACCUGAUUUUUUUAUUUUUGUUCAUUUAUAAAUAUUUGUCUGAACUUUCAAUUUUGACAAUUAGAUCAGCUAAAUGUUCAACAUACACCUUUAUUUAAUUAAAUGUUUAAUUAUCUAAUUAUUUUGGUUGCAUGCAUUGCAUAUAAUUUUAUAAAUAUUCAAAAUAUUAAAAGAAAUUAAUUUUUGUACAUAUAAAGAAAAAUUUUUAAAAAAGUUCAACCUAUUCUUUUGUCGCCAUAUUUAAUCAUCAAAAUUAAAAGGAAAAAAAAUAAAUUCGUGAAAUUUUUUUGGAGUUACAGGAUACUCCAUUUCAUUUGGACCAAAACUACGGUAUUUAAACUGUAGAAUUUUUUUACUGCUCAUCCAAACAGGACCUAAUUGCCAAAUUAUAAGUUUAGCAAGGUACCUAUUUGCAAACCGCUAAACAUUCAGGGGUCUCUACACAUUUUUUUAUUCUAAGAGAUAUAAACGUGUUUGGGAUGGUUAGAUGAUGAGGAUUUAAAAUAGAUGGUUCGAGGGUGAUGAACCCCGCUUGGAUGUUUUCUUUGAGACACACACAUCAUGUGGAGGCAUGGAUAAAAGGAAUAAAGGGCUCCCCUUUUUGUGUUUUUGUUUACACAAUUUUGGUCCAUAAUUCGUAUGCAGCACAGCAGUGGAGCCCAGGUGAAAGAGUGUGGGUUAUUAAUUACUUGUUAUUUUCUAUUAAUUUCUGUCUGGCUUUUACUUACUUUGCUGGAUAAAUCUGGUUCAUCAUAAACAUGGCGUGGAUAUUGGUGAUAUGAUCAGAUAAAAAUUGAUUGGCAGUGUUGAGCCAAUUAGGCGCGGACAGGUGGUACGCCGAUAUUUCAUUUAAAGGUGGCAAUUUUGCUGUACACCGGGAGCAUCGGAAGGGUUUUGAAGGAGAUGAACCGCCGCGAAAAUUAAGGGAGAUUACAAUAACCGCAAGCAGUUUCAAACGGUUCCGAUCGGCUGAAAGUGGUCCGGAAAAUCAAGAAAAGUGGCCGAUCAUGUAUAGGUAAUAACUGAUCAUAAAGGGCGAUCUAUAAAUAGAUCAAUAACGCCCUAAAAAGGGGUCUUUUUCCUGUGAACAAAAGACCGCCCUUAUUUCCUUAUAAUUUUUUCCAUUUUCUAGAAGUAGUAUACUUGUAAUUUUUACUUUCCCGCAUUUACUGUUUUUUUUCUAGGAGUAGUUCCUAAAUAGAUCAACCGAGUCUGUAUGCCAUCCGGCACAUUCAACCCUUGUACUUUUUCUCAAGCUUAAUUUCCAAGGCUUUCGGCUCUUCAAGCCGUUUAACUGGUGUGUGUUUCUUCUAUUCGGCUUAUCUACCGAGUCAAAUUUGUAGUUGGUCCGUACAUUCGGUUCAUUUCAGCCGAAUCGAAUAUUUAAUAGAGUUUUCGAACUCGGCUGAUCCGAUCCAUCGUCAACCGAAUCGUUUGAUUCAGUCGAAGGGUGCAAACUUCGAGGGUCACUAUUCGAAUCCGUUUUUCAUCCCGACACACUCCCCGAGAAAGAUUUUGACUAAGUCAAGGGUUAGAAAAUUCGGCACACAACAGUCAGAUUUAAGAAUCAUGAAUCAGUGGAGAUUGUUGACCUAAUGGGCCAGUGUCUUGGCUUAUAGCAGAAGAUCGGGUUGGACCGAGUUAUGUUCAAAGUGGCUUGAGGCUAGUUCAGCUGAGAUACAAUUAAGACCGUGAGUGUCUGUGUUUGUACGUUUUAAGUGAAUUAGUUAUAUAUUUCUAAAAAAUCGAGUUUUCGGAAUUAAUGGUUGGUGUCAACUAUCCAACAGUGAUGAUACGAAAGUUUGGAAGGAUUACAAUAGUUUCCUAUUAUCAAAAUAAUUAGAAUAUUAUGUUAGAGUAAGCCUAUUUAUUAUUAUUAUUACUAUUAUUUUUAUUUUCUUUUGUUGAAAGGUUGUGUCUCUUUUGUAGAGUAGUGUCUUUUAAAUUAUUCUGUGAAGAUGUGUCUAUUUGUGUCUAUUUGUGAAGAUGUGUCUAUUUGUGAAGUGAUAUAGGGAUAUAUAUAUUUUGAAGGGAUAUGUCUCUUCGCGCGGGACUUUUUGUUAAAAAAAUUGUCCCCCUAAUAUUCUAUAAAUAAGGGACGUGAUUUAUUUUGUGUAUGAAGUCAAAUUGUAAUUGAGUUUAUUUUGUAAAUCAAUAGAAUUUUGUUUUCACAAUUACUAUAUAUUUACAUUACUUUAGAGAUAGACCCACCAAAACUUGGUAUCAAAGGAAGAUUGUUAAUUAAGAAGAGGAAACUCUGUUGGAAGAAAAUGAUUAAUCAACUUUUUCAACUCCAAAUUUUAAAAUUGGUAAAAGAUAAUUAUGAAAAUUUAUGCAUUCAAAUAAAAGCAUUAUUUAGCUCUCAAGAUAUUUGGAAUGUCAUUAAUAAUGGCUAUUGUGAAUAUAUGGAACUAGAAGAAGUGCAAUUAACCGAACAUCAACGGAACGACUAAAAGAAUGCAAAAAAAAAAAAAAAAAAAGACAAAAACCUUCUUUUCACUCAUCAAAGCAGUAAAGGAGUCGACAUUCGAGAAAAUUGCCAAAGCAACUUCAAGCAAGGUGAUAUGGGACGUCAUUUCCACCAUCUUGAAAGGAGAUGAAAAAGUAAAGUGGAUUUGUCCACCAAAGCUUUGAGUGAAAUCAAUAAUUAUUCGCAUGAAGGAGUCCGAAAGUGUUGUGUAUUUUGUUUCUUGCAUUCUGGUUGCUGUGAGCUAAACAAAGCAAAAUAAAUAACAACUCGAUGAUGCACGAGCCAUAUAUAGGGAUGAUUUUUUGCCUUUUGCCACAAAAGUUUGAGCAUAUUAUUGUUGACAUAGAAGAGUCAAAGAAUACCAAUCCUUCUCCAUCAACCAAUUGACGGAAUCUCUCCAAUUACAUGAGCAAAAAUUACAAAAGAAAAUUGAAGCCAAGUCAACUGAACACUCCCUCAAGUCGAAAGUAAAACUUGAUAAUCAAAAGGGCAAAAGUUGCCAAGAAACUAACAAAAGAAAUAAGAAUGAAAAGUGAUAUAGUCAUAACCGACAUAGUAGGAAAAAAGAUGGUCGCAAUUUACGAUGCUGGAUUGCCACAAAAAAUAGUCGGUACAAUAGUUUGUAAUACCUAUAGCCACAAAAAAUAGUGGGUACAAUAGUUUGUAAUACCUAUAGUCUCGAACCCCUUCUUGAAAUCUUAUUUUAUUUUAUUUUGCGUACAGAAUUUUGAAACUUUUGACUUAGCAGUAGACCAUAGUUCACCCUAAUUGACCAAGCAUGGUCUUUCCAGGCUCACUAGAUCCUCCCACUUACUCUCUUUCUCCCUUCGGUUUCAUCGCGCUACUGCCCUGCACUACCAACGGGGUGGUGACACGUGGUCUAUUUUCCCCUCCUUUUUAUUCUUUCUUCUCUUUACAAAUCUCCCACCAUUUCCUAUCUUUCUAUUUUUCUUCUUCUCCACUACUAUCUAGCUCUCUUUUUCUUUCUAUUUCUUCCAAUCUUCCUACUGUAUCUCCACCGUGACACUCGAAAUCCAAUUUUCUUCUUAUUCUUUUCCCUCUUCUUUUCUUUCUCUUCUCCUUCUUUUCAUCACUUUCCUUGUACCCACGAUGCCUCUAUCUCCAACUAGGUCACCACCCUUUGGCAUUUGGGCAGCUUACACGUUGAUGGGAGACCGGGGUGAGGAUCUUUGGUUUUGGCUUGGAACGAAAAAUUUUGUGCGUGCAAGAACCAACAGUAAAAGCACUUGAAAACUCGGACUUCUAUUUUCUCUCAUUGCUUUUUUUCUCUUUUGUUUCGACUUAGCCCAAACAACCUACUAGUUGUAGGACAAUGUGCAAUUGGGUGAAACUAUGCCCUACCCCUCACCGCAUUCCUGUAGUGUUCGUAUUCCAAAAUUAAACAUUGCAGUAUUUGGCAGUCGAUCAAGGGCGUUGACGAUCAUCCAAUGGUGUGUAAAUCAAACGUUGGCAGCGGAUUAACAAAUACUCAAUUGUCUAGAUAUCGAUGGUCGACCAGCUGCUGGACAAUGGUCGAGCGAUUGCUGGACAGCAAUCAACCGCAAUAAGGUUAUAGCAUAUCUAAGUCUACUUGAUGAGUUAGAAUUCUUACACUCCUUUCUCUCUUUUUAAUAGGAACUUAAAGGGUUUCUUUUGAGUGUCAAACAGUGCAGUUUAAUCUCAAAUAAUGCAACUUUUAUUUUAGAUAAUACAACUUAGCCUCUUAUAGUUUUAAAUAGUAUAACUCUCAAAAUAGUGUAAUUUUCGUCUCAAAUAGUGCAACUUAUUAUUCUUCUUCCUUCUUCUCUACUCUUGGCCUUUUAUGUAGAAGCCAUAACACAUGAUUGCCUUCCUAAGAAAAGUAAUUUUUUUUUCUUUUUUAUUCUUUCUUCUUAUUUUUUUUCUUCCACCUCCGCAUCUACGCUAUGCGCUCCCUCCCUCGCCCACUGCUAUAGCAGCUGCCAACACUCCGAUGCGCUUUCUUUCCCCAUCAUCCUCAAACCCUGUGGCACUUUCAUCGUCGCCACCAUCACCAACCAUGGCCACACCCUCUGUCGUAGCCUCACAUAUGUGAUUUGCGCCAUAUCCGAGCUGGCAUCAAUACAUAUGUGAUCAAGAUGAGAGAGGAGCGCAAUGUCGACGUGGGAACAGUAGAGAAAGGGAAGGGAGAGAAAGCGGGAGAAAAAAGAGAAGAAGAAACGGCGAGGAGGAAAGAGACGAAACAUAAGGAGAAAAAUAAACGAGAGAAAAAAAAAAGAAAGAGAAAAAGGAAUAAGAAUAUUUUUGUCAAUUUACUAAAAAUUCGGAUCGAAUCUAUAAAAUCCAAAAAAUAUAAAUUAGCCCGUUUUUACAAAAAAAGGCAAAAACAAUGGAUUAUUUUAUGUAGAAAGGCCAUAAUAUAUAUAGAUGAGUCUUCUUGAUGCCAAAAAUUAUUUUCGGGAUUAAAAUUUACUAGAUUUAUUAUCUAAUUUUAACUAUUAAAUGGUAAAAGAAUAUUUUAUUUAUUGCAAGACUGAAUUUAUUAGUUUAACAUCAGAAAUUUUUUUAUACUUUAUUAUUUUUUUAUCAUUUGCCCAAUAUUAGUCAUUUUUUUAAUAUAAAUUGAUGGCCAAUUUGCAUAAAAAAUCCAUAAGCUUUGAGCUUUUGCAAAACUGAGCCACAUUUUUCAAUUUUGCAGAUUCAAGCCAAAUUUUUUGCCAUCGGACGAAAAUACCCUUAUUCCUUUUCUCUCUCUUCUUUUUUUUUCCUUCGUUAUUUUUUUCUCGAGGACGCGCUCCAGAUCGCCACCACCCGCCUCAAGGACGAGUUCCGCCACCUCCUCCUCAGCAGUGCCCUCCCCAUCGCCUCCUCCUCCGUCAACGAACCCACCUCCUCCUUGUGCCGCCUCUCCCUCUCCCAUGGCGUCCAUGGCCUGCAUGGCAUCGGCCUCCAUGGCCUGCAUAGCGUCGGUAUCGAGCGGGACCAGCGCCGCUUGCACGUCAUACUGUAGCGGCCACUAGCCGUUGCACAGAACCGUGAACAGGGCGGCGCGUAGCAGCGCAACGUCGAUCCAUUGGAAGCUAAGCGUGAAGCCGACGUCCGAGAAGCCUGCGGCGGCCACGCGGUUGUCGUUCUCGGCGACCACCGUGAGGGGCAUCCGGACGCCGAGCGUGCCGGACUGGUCAUUAUCGAGCCAGCCUAGGUGCGCCGCUGGCAUGUCAAACGGAGGGGAAGAAGGAAAAAGAGGAGGAGGAGGAGAAGUGGUGCAAAUUUCGCCCAAAAUUGCACUAUUUUGCCCAAUUUUGCACCAUUUCGUCCAAAAUUGCACAAUUUCUUCUUCUCCUCCUCUUCCUCUUCCUCUUCCUUCUUCCUUUUUACACCAUUACACCAUUUUUUACACCUUAAAAAAUUGCAUUCUUUAAACGCUCUCAUCUCCCUCGCCGGAAAGUAGGACUCGGACGGCAAUCUUGAGGGCAUGGAUCCAUUUCUUCAUCUUAGAGUCGAGGGUGCUCCACUCGAUCCUUUGGACCUCCUCGAUACUCAUCUUGUUGACGCCAAGGGCGACGAGGGUCUCUGCGAUGGCGUCGCGGCGGACAGCGAUGUACAUCUGGCUCAACUCCUGGUCGUACCUGGCGCGGAUCAUGCGGCCGGUGACCUCCGCGGGGUCGGCGACGGCAUUGACGUGGAGGAGGUCGGAGGAGAAGUGGUCGGCGGAGAGGGAUCCCCCGCCUCCUCCUUUGCCGCCACUGCCGCGAGAGUCCUCGAGAUUGGCGCCGUGGGGGUGGGGUCGGAUCUGGCGGAGGAGGUGGGGGCAUCGUCGUGGGAGAGCGAGAGGCAGCAGAAGAAGGAGGUGGGUUUAUUGGAGGAGGAGGAGGCGAUAGAGAGGGCGCUGCGGAGGAGGAGGUGGCGGAAGAAAAAAAAUACGAAGGAAAAUAAAAAAAGAAGAGAGAGAAAGAAAAUGAAUAAGAGUAUCUUCGUCCGAUGGCGAAAAAUCCGGCCCGAAUCUACAAAAUUGAAAAAGAUGACUCAGUUUUACAAAAGCUCAAAACUUGUUAAUUUUUUAUGCAAAUUGGCCAGAAAUAGACUAUAUAUAUAUAUAUAUAUAUAUAUAUAUAUAUAUAUAUAUAUAGAAAUAUAUAUGAUUAAUUGCUANNNNNNNNNNNNNNNNNNNNAUAUAUAUAUAUAUAUAUAUAUAUAUAUAUAUAUAUAUGAUUAAUUGCUAAAAAUAAAAAAAUGUAGAUGGAAAAUAGAAAAUUCUUAAAAUUUAGACGACGAAAAGCUCACCAAUGUAUGUAAUACUCUAAUAUUAUAUAGAUUUAAAUAAAUCGCAAAAACUUAUCAUCCAAUGUCAUCACAGAUUUUUUAUUAAAAACGGCCUUCAAAAUUAAUACUCCAAUUAAAAGUUCAUUUUCCCUAUGAUUCAAGGCAUAAUGUCUUUCCCUCCUACUUUCACAUAUUGGGUGACCAUUACUGCUUGAGAAUAGCAGGUCAUCCUUUUUGAGUUAUAAAUUUUAUUCCUUCAUUGAUAAGAAAUAAGUGACUAAGAUUACAAUGAAGUGUCCGAGCAUUGCUCUCAUUAGAUAUAGGGUAAACUUAAAUAUCACUACUAUGAUUUUACACUUUCUCACUUUAGUACCUUAUAGUUUAAAGUGUAUCAAGUUAGUGUUCUUUGGUUUUAUUUUUAUUUUUUCGUCAGCUUUUUCGUUAAUAUUUCGUUAAAUUAUAUACAAAAAACUUCAGAUAUCCUAUCUAGAUUUAUCGAAUAUUUGUUUUAGUACCUUUUAGUUUUAACUUUGUCACUGAUGUAACGAAAAAAAUUAGUGGAAUCGAUAAUAGAAAGAUAAAAAUGAAACCAUAUGGCACUAAAUUGAUACACUUUAAAAUCACAAGGUACUAAAGUGAAAAAGUGUGAAAUCACUCGGGUGGCAUUUGAAGUUUUUUCUUAGAUUUUAUAUCAUAUCUUUUGCUCAAGAAAGUCUAGGCUUAAUUCAAAACUUUCUAUCAAAUGAAAUCGGGCUGAUGGUUUGAUAACUCUAAAUUACGUCCUCGUCUAAGUGGAAUAGUAGAAUCGAAUUUGUUGCCCUUAUAAACAGAUGCCUAAAGAGAAAAUUUAAACUUUUCCUGAUGACUUGGAAAAUCUCCACUUGCAGAGUACUGCUGUAGAUUCUUUGGAAAUUUUAAAAAUAUUAAAAUUAUAUCUGUAUUAAUGUUAAAAAAAAUGUUCUAUUUAUUAAUGUAUAUAUUUUUAAAAGUUUAUUAACAUGUUAAUAACUUACCAGGAUAAUAUUUCAGAGAAUCUAAAAUAUUUUCUAUAUUUUUAAUACUAUAUUACUUUUAUCAAUCAAACAACUAUAGAAUUUUGUUCCAAAGUCCUUGCUGAUUGGGGUAUAUUUUUUACGAGAUUCCAGACUUCCCAACCUCUGUCAGUCUGUCAGAAUUUAAAUCUCAAACUCACGCCCGCCAAAAACCACCACCACCACCGUCGUCCUCUUCACCCCUCCUUGCACGGUGGCAGCGGGUCGCCGCAGAGCCCGGCAUUCCCUCUAAACCCCCCGGCUGGCAGCCGCGCCUUGUGCGGUGGUAUCGGUCCUGUCAGCCGGUUGUCCGACACAUCGAACACCUGCAGCCUUGGCAUGUCGAGCAGCCCCUCCGGUAUCCCCCCUUCGAGCCCGUCCCCUGCCAUCCUCAACUCCGUCAACGACGCCAUCUUCGCCAUCGUCCCUGGUAUCCGCCCCCCCAGUUCCGGGUUUCCUGACACCGCGAACCUCUCCGCCGACCCCAUCGCCGCCAAUUCCCCGACGUCCUUGUCCACCCCUCCCGUAAACCUGUUCCUCGAUAAAUCCAGCGUCGUGUAGUGCCCCAAUGCGUCACUCGUGGCCUUCACGAGCACUGGCCGGAUCGGGCCGUAGAGCUUGUUGUCCGACAGGUCGAGCUCCAUGAGCCUUGCGAGGUUCUUGAAGCUCUCGGGGAUUGCGGACCGGAGCUCGUUGUGCGAGAGGUUGAGGGUGGCGAGCCCUGUCAUGUUUCCGACCCACGGCGGUAACUCGCCGGACAAUUUGUUGCUCGAGAGGUCGAGGACGCCGAGUGAGGGCAUCGCGGCGAGCCAUUCGGGCAUCGGGCAGGAAACGCCGAUCCCAGCGAGGUGUAGCUUGAACAGGCCCGGCAUUUUGCCGAGCCAGCUCGGCAAAGUGGGUUGAUUGAUUGGAUUGAAGGAGAGGUCGAGCAAUUGGAGACUCGGGAGGCCGGCGAUCUCAUCGGGGAUCGGGCCGGUGAGGUUGUUCCUCGAGAGGUCCAGAAUUUGUAACCGAGCUAAAUUGCUGAUGCCGGCGGGGAUUUUUCCGGUGAACCUGUUGUUGCUGAAGAAGAGGGUGUUGAGCGAGGAGAGGCUCCGAAUCGACUCCGGUAUCUUUCCGGUGAGCUCAUUGCCUGAUAGAAACCACCGCUGCAUGCUCCGGAGAUCGCCAAUUGACGGCGGGAGGAUUCCGGAGAGGCGGUUGCUCGAGAGCCGGCAGAAUUGGAGGGACACCAUCUUGGUGAAGGAAUGUGGGAUGGCGCCGGCGAGGCGGUUCUCGGAGAGAUCGAGAAUGGCGAGUUUGAUGAGGUUGCCGAUGGACUUCGGUAUGCUGCCGGAGAUUCGGUUCUUUGAGAGGUCGAGGUAGGUGAGGUUCCGGAGAUUUCCGAUCUCCAUCGGAAUUUCGCCGGAGAGGUCGUUGCUCCGGAGGUCGAGUCUUUCGAGGGCCGAGAGUUUUCCGAUGGACCGCGGGAUCGCACCGGUGAAUUGAUUUUCGUAGAGGGUGAGGAACGUGAAGGCGGGCGAGGCAAAAAUGGAAGGUGGAAUCGCGCCGGAGAGGCGGUUGUCGUUCAGGAGGAGGAAUUCAAGGCGGCGGAGGCCGGAGAAGGACGAGGGGAUCGGGCCGGUGAGGCCGUUGCCGAAGAGGUAGAGAUCAGUCAAUAAGGAGAGGCGGCCGAGGGACGGCGGGAGCGGUCCGGUGAGUUUGAUGAGGUUGGUGAGGCCGAGAAUUCGGAGGCCGGUGAGGUUGCCGAGGGCCGGGGGGAGGGUGCCGGCAAGGGUCGCGACGCCGUAGUCGAGCGCGACGCCUGAUAGGGUGAGGUUGGAGACACGGCCGCCAGCGCCUGCUGGGUCGCAGGAGACACCGUACCAUCCAGCGCAGCAUUCGGCAGCGGCAUCAGCUGCGGACGGGUCCCAGGUGCGGAGGAGGCCCCGGGGGUCGGCGGUUAUGGCGGCUUUGAAUGCGAGAAGUGCCGCGCGGUCCGCGGGGUGGCACGACGCACUACAUUGCAGCGAAAAGCAGAAGCAGAAGAGGGAGAGGAGGUUGAAUUGGAUGGAGAAGAUGCAGGGAAUGAAAUUGUUCCCCAUGAAAGUUGCUGCGAGUGUUAAACGUUUAGUAGUUUCUAUAGAAGUAGAGUUGGGUGAGAGGAUAUUCUUUCUUGUAUGAGGUAAGGGGAGCAAAUUUAAUUGGUAAAAAUGCGUUGUUAGGAAGUGUUUUAUACGGAAUGGUGAUAAUAAUGCGUGUGUUUGUGAGAAUCGAUGCUCCUCCACGUUUUGAACUUUUGAACUGAAGGCAUGCGCUAUAGCUGGCCAACAUCCAUUGAGUAAUCAUUUCAAUUUUUUUGAAAGUCGAAGAGCAACUUUUUCUUGAUUUUAUUGCAACGAGCGCACAAACAGAACCGACAAAAAGCGAUUGCAAAGGAGACAAAUCAAAGAAAUAGUAAGAUAAAAUUAAACACAAGGAUCUACAUGAAAAAAAUUUUUGUUAGGAAAAAAUCAUGGGUAAAAAAAAAAGAGAAAUUCACUAUGAAAAAAGAAGUACAAUAAUUUUGGAGAUUUUAAUUCGAUGUAUCAUCAGCAAAGAAAGAAUAAGUGGCUGAUUUUUGGGUGAGUGUUACCGAAAUGCCUUCAUCCCUUUCCAGACUUAGCUUUCAGAUUAGGACUGAAUGACUUGGGCAACCUUUACCAUUCUUAACCUCAGAAAAGAUCUAAGACUAAAGUCGCUCUCCUUGCCUCUAGAGCAAAAAAUAUGAAAGAAGGUGCUUAAACAAAUUUUAAUUCAUUGCAUCGCCUCUGAGGGCUCCACAAAUAUUCAUUUUUUCUUCAUAAUUUUUUUGUAAAUAUUUGUUGUACUGUGAAACUAACGGUGAAUCAAGCGCACAAAAUCGAACUCAAUAACAAAAUUUCAAGGUACAUCUAACAGAUUUAAAAAAUGAACAUGAUUGAGAUGGUUAGAUGAUGAGGAAUAAAAUAGAUGGUCCGAGGGUGCUGGGUCCUCUUGGAUGUUUUCUUUGAGACACACAUCAUGUGGAGGCAUGGGGUAAUGGAAUAAAGGGCUCUCUUUUGUGUUUUUGUUUACACAAAUUUGGUCUAGUUUGUGUACAACGGAGCAGUGGAGCCCAAAUGAAAGAUGUGGGUUGGUACUUAUUAUUUUAUAUUAUUUUCUUUAGGGAAAACUUCAAAUACCUCCCGUGGUUUCGAACUUCCUCAUUUUAGUACCAUGUAGUUUAAAGUGUAUUAAGUUAGUACCCUGUGGUUUCGCACUUUCUCACUUUAGUACUCUGCGGUUUAAAAUGUAUUAAGUUAGUACUCUGUGGUUUCAUUUUUGUAUCAAGUUAGUGUCCUGUGGUUUUUUUUUUUUCUUUUUAUUAUCCAUCUUGAGAUUUUUUUUUGUUAAAUCAGUGACAAAGUUAAAACUAAAAGCUACUAAAAUGUAUAUACGAUAAAACUAGGUGGGGUAUCUAAAGUUUUUUAUAUAUAAUUUAACAAAAUAUUAAACCACAGGGUACUAAAGUGAAAAAGUGCGAAACCACAGGGUACUAAAGUGAAAAAGUGCGAAACCACUGAAUACUAACUUGAUACACUUUAAACCAUAGGGUACUAAAGUGAGAAAGUGUGCGAAACUACAUAGAGGGUAUUUGAAGUUUUCCCUUUUCUUUAUGGCUUUUAGUUACUCUGCUGGAUAAAUCUGGUUCAUCAUUAGCAUGGGAUAAUUAUUGGUGGCAAAGUAGAGAUAGGAGAAAGAUUCAAAAGGAAUUUUGAAUUGGUAAAGAUGUUAUGAGAGAUUUGAAUGAUCAGAAGAGCUUCUUAUUAUUAAACUAACUAGAAUAUAAAACAUUUGCAGAAUAGGAAUAUAGGACAGAGAGGAGAUAGGAUGUUAACCAUCAAAACUUUGAAUCAUUUUAGCAAAACUCUUUACUAACUCAUUCGCAACUUAAAUUUGUUGUGCUCUGAGAGAGUUUACCACAAGUUUAAUGGAAUAAAAUAAAAUAAAUUAUUACUGCAAAGGCUAUUUAUGAGUUGUUUCCUAUCAAAUAGAUCUUUUAAGUAAUAUGGCAUAAGAAUCGGUCCUAAACCCUUAAUUUCGAGAGAUCAGAGUUUAAUCUUUCCAUCCAUCAUUUGAUAACAUAAUCUUUCAUCGGUUAUCAUCUUUCAUUACUUCUUCUACUGGUGCACACGGUACAAUUCAUCUGUCUUUCACCGUGCACGCGAGCAUAAAUAUUAAGACUAUUUCUGAGUUACUUACUGUUAGAUUUAUGCUAUCGCUUAAAGGAUGACAAAGAAUAUUUCAGCUAUGUACCUCAGAGCAUGCCUAAUAACACAAAUCUUUUUUCUUGUCAUCAUUGGAGGAACUGAGACAAAAGUUUUAGAAACUCUCGGGCCAACUCCUCAGGCACUUUGAUAAUUAUAGGUAUCAAUGAUCUCCAUAAGUACUCCACUGUUCAAUUGGGGUCCAUUGCUUUGCUGUACACAGGACCAAACAUUGCAAGAAAAGCCAGAAGAAAAGACAAAAGCAAGCCUUUUCCAUCCCUUGUGCACUUAUCAUCCCCAUCACCCUUAAUUUAUUCCUACAUCUUAGGUCCAAAGUGUCAGCAUUAAAAUCUGUAUUGAACAAAAUACCCAAGGGGAUCCACCACACUCACACUUGAGAGAGAGAGAGAGUCUAUUGAGUUGUUAUGUUAUUUGGGGACAAUUUCACGACAUUCUUACAAUUAUGACAACUCAUAAUAGAGUUGAGCUUCUGUGCUUUUAAAAGGCACAUAAGCUCAACAUGUUUGCAAUUUUUAGCCGUCGGAUCAACUCAAGAUUCGUGAGCAUUAGUAAAGAAAACUUAAUGAGAUACAUUGUUAAUAGUGUUACAUGAAACUCCGCCAGUUAAAAAGUCACGAGUACAAAUACUCAUAUGCUUUUAAAAGCACGGGAGCUCAAAUCCUCAUAAUAUAAGGAUUAGAAUUUGAAAGUCGGCAUAAGUUGAUAAGUUAUUCAAAAUAAAAACAGUCUAGUAUGAUUGUAAGAAUAAAGUUCGAUCUUUACUCUUUAAAAGGACUUGAUAUUCAUACUUUGAUAGGACAGCAUAUUUCACCUAUAAGGUGAUUAAUCUUAUCCGAAAAAAUGACUUUAAGGCUAAAUAUAGUAGUAUCCAAUUCGUGACAUUUAAUCACAUUCCUCAUUUACCAAAUGCACAUGCUUCUAAUUAAAUUAUGGAGAUGCAUCAAAUAAGAAAUUCAUACAACCAAAUAGGACUAUAACAGCAAAGAUGAUGCCAUGACACCAGAAAAUGAGGUCGGUCAUAUUCUCAAUUUGGUAGUUGUUAUCUCAUAAUUCAUACCACAUUCCAAUACCACUCAUUUUGGAAAGCUAAGAUUGAACUGUUGAGACCAAAUAAAAGUGCAUUGAGAAUCUGAGAUCUGAGGGAGAAUACUAGCAUUGAAACAUAAGGAUUUUGCCUACUGAUAUUCACUCGGCAACUUCGAACGAAAAAAAAAAAAAGGAAAACAGAAAAAAUAAAUAAAUUUUCUCUUCCAAUGCCCGACCUAAGUGAGCCCUUGCAUACUACAGAUGUUUUGAAACAUUGUGUUUUUGUUUGUUCUUCUGUUGUCCUUUUUUGUUACUUGUAAUUUCCUUCUUGUUAAUCUAUUUUCAUUAGAGCCCUACUGACCUUUACCUAACAACGAACAUCAUUUCAAUUACUCGCAUAAUGUUGAAUAAAAUAUGCAUAGAGAAAAAUUGAAGUUCGGAUGGAAUUUCUGCCCAAAAAACCAAUAUAUUAAUAUGCAACAAACAAAAUUCAUUACUCAUUACUUUCACAAGUAUUUAACAAAAUAAUAACGAAUGGAGGAAGCUGCGUGAAGAUUAGAUUUAGAAGAUUCUGUCAUGCUAAAGAAUCGACAUUAAAUUAGGAUUAAUAUUUGAGUGCAAACAAUUGAUUUCUAAGUAUAGAAACUAUGGUCUACAAGUUUUCAAGAAAUAAAUUCAAGAAUUAAAAAAAAAUCAAUUAUUUGUGAAAACUAGCAAUAAAUGCUGCAAAAGACUGGUUAAAUAAAAAAAUCAUAAACAUGUAACCUUUGAUCACGACCUCUCUGCAAACUGCUCAGGCCGCCAAUCCCCCUUCUCCGCACAAAUUAUACCUUCUUGAUCUUUGGAGAAGGUCAAUUGUACUUCCCAGUGAAGCGACUUCAAGAUAUCCGCCACCUCGCUCACAGUAGCGGACUCAUCGCGGAUAAUAAUUUUGCCACCCGGCCUCACAAUCCUAUCGACCUCCACCACAAUAGGCACAAUCGCACAUCUAAAAUUGGACAACCGAAGAACUCUUCUUAAUUACACGAACAAUAAUCAAAGGUUGAAAAAGAAAUUUGAAAAGAGAAUUUACCCACUCACCUCUUUUUUAUGUUUGAGAACAGGUGAUCAGCAUGCAAGAGGUCAUAAGUCCUAGGAUAGGUGCUAAAAGAUUCGCACCAGUCAUGAUAAAUACCAAAGAGGCCCCUCUCAUAGAUGAUUGGUAGUGUAUCUGGAGCAUCGAUGUUCACCACAUUCAUGACCCAAACUUUAAGAUCCUUAAGUGCAGCAGCAAACCUGAAAUAGUUCUUGUGAAUUAACAUAUGAAAGCAGUAAAUAGCACGAGGGAUCCUUGACCUUCUAGCAUAGUUUUAGUCUGAUCCUCAAUGUUUCAAUUGUUACAAUUAGGUUUGGGACCUGUGCAUUUCAUUGCAAUCCAAACCUCUCCAUUCCAUCAAAUUCCUCAAUUAAAUUGGACAGAUUUCCACGCAUUCAUCAUCAAACUGCUACGAUUGAAGAGGUUAAGCUUGCAUAAAAUGCAACAGUUAGUGGUUUAAAUAGAAACCUAACAAAAUGGCUUCGAGGGACCCCUAGUUAGAUUCCGAAGAAAAGAAGUGUUUUUAUGAGUCUAAAGCAUAGAAGCAGUAUUUUACCCGCCAUAGAUAGCUCUCAUGUCCAUAACAUUUCUCACUUUUGACCAGUUAAUGCCAAAGCCACUGAGGUAGGACUUAGUUACUACUUGUUUCCAGUGUUCAUGAUCUGCCGUGAAAUCAUCAGGAGCAGGUUUUCCAUAGAUUCCAAUCUGAGAGCUGUUUAGCCAGAAGGGUGGGACUCGCAGCCUUCUUGGCCAUUCCUCGGGCCACCUUGAGCCCCGCUCAGGUGCAUCAACUGGCACUCGGUGCAAGCAAGUCUUCAAAGGGAUGUACCUGCCAAUAGAAAGAAAAAUAAAGAAAGAAGUUAGAGCGAGACUUACGUAUCGUGAACAGUGAUCAUAGAGAUGUCCUAUAUCUACUUCGUUCGUAAGCUAUAAAAAUAUUUUAUGCUUCAGAGGUGGAGUGAAACUGUAAAAUAUUGAUGUUAUCUUGUAACUUAUUGCGAAUUAGUUCACAUUAAUUUCAGCUCCACAAUCUACCAUCUUCGGUAAAAACAAGUAACAAUAAGAUGAGGUCUAGUGUAAGGAUGAUCAUUAAGUAUACACUCACUUUUUGUCCAAACGGUUUUAUCUGACCAAAUAAAAAGAGUUAGCAAUUCAUACAUACGCCAUGCGUUAAAAAGGCCACGUACUAUACAGGAAACAACAUUUUAAUGCAAAUAUAUGAUAACAAGUUCAUUUACUGAUGAAACUACUCCAGAAACAAAAACGAAAGCUAAGUAGCAAUGGUUGCCAUUUUGACAAAAUUACUUGUUGAAAUGAAAUGUGAUAGUAUGACCCUGUACUGGUAAUUGUUGGAACUCACCAAGCUGCAUUUGGAUCAUCAUCUUCAUCACACAUCGGAGGGUUCUGAUGCUUUCUGGUCUUGUAGCAGUCAUUAGUAGUAGGUUUACGGUAGAAGGCAUCAGCAAUACCAUUCAAUCUGUCCUUUCUAAUGGUGACAAGAUUCCAACACAUGGAGCUGGUAAUAGACAUCAUGACUGGAAAAUAGGAAAUAAGAUGCUAUAACCUCAGUCAUAUCAAAUCAGAUUCACAUUAGGAGAUUUGACUAAUAGACCCUACCCUUCCAGAUUUGAACAUCUUCCUCAAGUUUCUGAUACACAGGCGUUUCUGACCAAAUGAAAAACCCUCCUGGGCGUAAAACACGGUUUAUUUCCAAAAGAAGAGUGCCACCUACAACAGAGUUGCAUUCUCAUAUUAAUUGUCGAAGCAUACAAAAGGCACCAUCAUCGAAACUGAAAAUUGAUUAUCUAGAAUGCAAGUUUUAAGACCAUUAGGGGUCCCUAAUCUUUUAACAUAGUUUCAUUUGGCCCUCUACCUUUAAAUUAUUACAUUUGUCUCCCUAAUCUUUCCACUCCUUUACAACCAAUCUUUCUCUGUUAAAAGAAAAGAAGAUGCCUACUUAAUUGCAACUAACUGCCAAGCAUGUAAUUUUCAGAUUUCUCAUCUUUUGUGUUAGGGUAGGUUUUUCUUACAUGACAGGUACUGAUAAUUACAAGGUGAUUAUGUGGAUUAUCUGUCUCGUUUAACACAGAAAUUUAACCGAAAGGAAAUGGUUGCAACAGACUACUAAGGUUAGGCAACCAAUUGCGGCACUUUCAAUGUUGAGGACCAACUGAAAAUAUAUUAAAAUUAAAGGACUCCUAGUGAAAUAUAACCAGAUAACUACCAUCUGAAUGCCACGGGACACGGCAGCGUGCACAAUGCACCAGAUCGAAAACCUUGCUGGGAAAUGGAAGGCGUUGAGAACCCAUCACGGCAGAUAUUGCUGGGAUUCCCCGCUCUAAUGCAAAUUGAACUUGAGCUUCAUGUUCAUCUUUUGGAGCGAAGGACAUUGCAAGAACAUCUCUCUCGAAGAGAUAACCGCCAAAGCUGGCAACCCCACAGCCUACAUCUAGUAUCACCCUAGUGUGCUUUCCCCAGGCAAGACCAUGAACAGACUACAAAAUAAGCCAAAGAUGUUUCAAGUAAACUAAAGUGUAGUUGCCGAUACCCAAGAAAAAAAAAAUCAAGCUUGCCGAUCUUUUGCAAUUAAGAUAAAAUAGUAUGACAAAAGAAAAAAGAAAACAACUUUGGAGUAUGAUUGUCUGCUCUUAAAAUUGGAAGGAACAUAAAGAAUGUUUCAUAGAGGUUAAUGUUUCAAGCUACGAAUUGAUUGAUGAUAAGCCAACAGUGUUUUGAUGUGCUCCGCACCAACUUUCAGACAUUUGUAUCUUUCUCCUCUAGAUCAUGUCUCCAUCAGUACGAUAUUUUUUGGGGUUACAACCACCCAAAUAGCUUUGUUUCUUUCAAACAAUCCCUCUUUUUCCAGAUUCCACUUGUCCUAGGAUUCCAUUUAGAAUUAACAUCAGGGAAGCAGUUGGCUGUAAACUUUCUAGGAGUUUUCUCAAAUAUGAUUGGAAAUUUUAGAAGCCCGCUUUGCUGUUAAACUCACAGCACCACAAGUAGUUGUUAAUGUCAUUUCGGAAGCUUCUUUUUUUAGCUCUUGAAUUCUCAUUUUAAAUGUAAAGGACAAGCUUCGUCAACUUCCACAACUUUCUUGAUUAACCUUUACAUGAAUUCUUUUCUGUAACCUAAAUAACUCGAAAGAAGGAACUACAUUAUUAGAACAAUAAAACAGAUCAGAAUAAAGUACCUUAAAUGAAGAAAUUAAGUUCUAGAGUUGUGAGAAAUCCAGCUGUCCUACUUAUUAGAACAAAGAUUACGGAACCUCAAAGAAAAGCAGAUUGGUUAUAAAAGGAUCCACACCUGCUGAAGAAAAUCAAUGUAAUGCAGAGCCCCAUGAAUGAAUUGCGUCCCCCCUCCUGGGAAAGAAAGGUACUCUCCUGUAACUUUUACCCAAUUUUGGUGCCCCUUCACCUCCGCGAGCUUUGUAUAAGGUACAUUAUUGUACCAAAUCUAAAGAAGUAUGUUAAAAGGCAUAAAUCAAUACGAUGCUAUGUUCAUAACUAACUAAUGUGCAUAAAACCAAUUCAAUUUCAAAAAUUUGGUAUAGUUCACCCUGUCUCUGCUCUGUGGCCACUCAAUAGACCUCCGAUAACCCUUUGGAAGCGGCACGAGGCAUGUCGGGCUCUCCUCAGGGCAGUGCCGCUCGCGGUGCUCGUAGUGCCUGUAGCUGUGGAUCUUCUUAAGGGCCUUCUUGUUAUCGAGGCAAGGGAUAUAAUCAGCACCAGCAGAGACAUUACACAUCUUCCACUCGAGAUCAAACGAACCCCCCGCAUUCUCCACUGAACCGUCUCCGCCGUCCGAUUGCAGCUCCUCCUCUUUCCUCCGCUCCUUCUCGUUCUCCGACUGGUCAGCCUGAGUCGCCCACGGCCUAUUCUCGCCAUCCCUUUCGCGCUCGUUCCGCACCUCCAAAUCGCCUCCAUUCGAAUCAGGGAGCCUCUCCGCCUCACUCUGCUGCUGGCCUUCCUCGUCACCGCCGUUACGGUUCUUGCCGCCUACCUCCUCUGUCAUCUCUUCAGAUUGAACCUGGCCCUCAUUAUCAUCUCCCUCCGCAUUCGACUUCUCCGACUCCUCCUCGAUCUCUCGUCGGUCCGAAUUGACCACCUGCUCGAUCUUCUCUUCCGACCCCGCCGAAUUCUCCUGCGUCUCCUCCUGCUGCAAUUCUUGGUGCGCUUCCUCGCCGGCGUUCGUCGGGAGCUGCUCGUCGUGCUCCCGCUGCAUCUCCUCGUGCCGCCGCUGCUCCUCCUCCUCCUCCUCCCGCCGCCGCUGGCUCUCCUCCUCCACUCCCCCAUCCAAAUUCCCCUCCUCCACCUUGCUUUCCCGCUCCUUCUCGCUCUCACCCGCCUCCUCUCUCCGCUCCUCUUGAUUCCUCUCCCCAUUGCUUCCCGCCUCCCCCGCCUCCGUCGAACCCUCGCCCCCUUCCGAACCCUUGCCCCCUUCCUCCCCACCUCCGGAGGCCGCGGCAAUGGCGGAGGCGGCGCCCGAUUUCUCCCCCGCUUUCCGAUCCUUCUCGCCCUCGUCGCCGCUCGCCGCCGCGGUCUCAAGCUUCUCCGAUUUCGCCCCUUCCUUGUCAUCGUCCUCCUCCUCCUCCUCCUCCAUCGCUGGGGUCGUCUCCUUCCUCAGACCCCGAGACGGAGUCGAAGAGGAGGAGAAGGACGAGCGAGAGUGGCGAGUUAGGGCUUGGGAGGGAGUAAUCGAGGACGAGGUGAGCAUCCACACCCCCGCGAUACACAGCGCGACGAAGACGACGGUGGCGACGUAGUACGACGACGACGACGAAGAAGAAGAAGAGGACGAAGGGAACGAGCGCUUCCCCCCUCGCGAGCUCCUCCCAAACCCCGCCAUUAAUGGCCACGCGGUAAGCUUUUUGCAACUACGAUCUAGUUCAUCGUUCGAACAACACUAGCACGCUAGUAUAAAGGACCGGAGUACGACUAAAUUGCAAAUCCAGUCCCCAACCUUUUCCAACGAUUCACUUUGGUCCUCAAAUACUUUUUUAAGUUUUAUUUCCUUUUUUCUGCCCCUAAGAUAAUGAGUUUAAAAACUUUUCAGAGACCGAUAUGAAACAUGGUAUAAGUAUAGGGACUGGUAGUGCAAUUUGUCCGAUGAGAGGAGGGGUUGUAAAUUGUAAUGGAAAGGUUCCGAGGAGGGGUGAUAAGAGAGAUCCCCGCGCGGCGGGGGCGCGCUGGGGAGGACACGGGGUGCGCGGAGAGGGGUAGGGGUUGAGAUCCAAAAUUUUGGCGGGGAGGCGCGAAGCGGUCUGUGGGGCCCACUACUUUACAGGUUCGCAGACCGUCGCUGUCUUCCCGUCAGUUUUUUUCGGGUGCUUGAAAAUGCGGACGGACAGCCAGCCAUACCAUACGACUAUACGAGCUGGUAUUUAAUAUGGCAGUUGCAUUAAAAAAAAAAAAAUUACAUUAUUAAAAAAUAGUUUUAGCUGGUAUUUAAUAUGGCAGUUGCAUUAAAAAAAAAAAAAUUACAUUAUUAAAAAAUAGUUUUAGCUGGUAUUUAAUAUGGCAGUUGCAUUAAAAAAAAAAAAAUUACAUUAUUAAAAAAUAGUUUUAGCUGGUAUUUAAUAUGGCAGUUGCAUUAAAAAAAAAAAAAUUACAUUAUUAAAAAAUAGUUUUAGCUGGUAUUUAAUAUGGCAGUUGCAUUAAAAAAAAAAAAAUUACAUUAUUAAAAAAUAGUUUUAGCUGGUAUUUAAUAUGGCAGUUGCAUUAAAAAAAAAAAAAUUACAUUAUUAAAAAAUAGUUUUAGCUGGUAUUUAAUAUGGCAGUUGUAUUAUUUUAUUUAUACCUUAAGUUAAUUAAUUAUUUUUAAAAAUAUAUAUCGUAAAAUUUCAAAAAAAAAAUUACGGUAAAAUAAGUGCAUUUUAGAGGUACAGUUUAGUUUGUUGAGAUGCCUCUAUCAACAUUCUAGAUUUUUUUUUUUUCCUUGCCCUAAAAGUUAAACUCAAAAGAGAAAUUAUCAUAAAAAAAAACAGAAAAAAAGGUAGACCCUAUACAAGACAAAAUUGAAUAAAAUAAUUAAAAUGACUGAUCCGUCGGCAAUAAAAAUUUAUUACGUUCAAGUCAUCAGUCCAAAAUAUUUAAAUUUAAUUAUUAUUAUUAUAGUUUAGAGUCUCUUAUAUACUCAAUUAUAAUUCCGUUCUUAUCCGAUGUGAGACUAUCGUUUAGGCUCUAACGUCUUCGUCAGCUCAAUCACAUAUACUGUCUAAGAUGAUCAAACGAUGUAAGGCCCAACUCACACUUUCAGCUGAUAAAUCGGUUCUAAUACUAAAUAUAACUACCCAAUCCGCUAACAAUUAUAACUCGUUGAGCUCAAAUCACCGGCCAUAAAUGUUUAAGCCCACUUAUUAUUACUAGCUUUCAUAGUUUUAUAUAUUUCAUUAUAAUUUCAUUUCCAUCCAAUGUAAGAUUAUGGGGAUAUCAUAAUAAACGAGUUUUUAGUUAAAAAAAAAUGAUAAAACUAAUAGAUGAAUUAUAAAUUAUAGUCAAAGAAAAACUGGAGUGCACAUAUGAUACUUAUGUUUUACAUGUACAGUUAGUAUUGCUAAGUAAUGUUAGAAAUGCACCUAUUUUAUGUACAUCUAGAGCACAGUGCCAGGACUUAGAAAUUUUCUCCAAUAUUUUUCUUUACAAACACUCAAACUCCAAAGCAGAUAUCUGUCAAAGGUUUUGUCUAAAUCUUCUAGAAGCAUCUCUACGGGUCUCGAGACUAAUGAUGCGGGAACCGAAAAGUCUCUUAAAGUUUCUAUGUUUCUAGAAAGUGUAUUUAUUAGGACUCUUGGGAGCUCAUAUUCUCUCCUUUUGGCUUGAAGUUUCAUGCCACUUGGCAUCUUUCUAUUUACUUUAUGGGCGACGAGUGGCUUUUAUAUAGAUAUGGCCUCCAUCCCCUCAACUCAAAAUCCUCAUUUGUAAUCCACUUCAAGAGUAAUAGAAGAGCUUUCUUCAUCUCUCUCUUUUAUUCUUAGUCUAGGGUGAGUAGGUUCUAACUUAGCAAGUAGAGAGGUAGGCUUGCUCACUUCGCGAAAGAACGCGAGCGCCAGGUUGGUUAAACAAGCGAUUUAGCUUAAGUCCAUGACAGUUGGUAUCAGAGCGAGUUCGUUGUUGGGGAGCCAUGUCCACAUCGGAAGCUACCGUCGAUAACAUUGUGCCUCAGCCCAGGGCGACCAAGCGUGGUAAGAGCAAGGAGCUACGAACUCUGGAGAAAAGGUCAGCCUCACUUGAAGACCGCAUGAGUAUGUUGAAGGAUUCUGUUGCUAAAGUGGACGAGCACUACUCCAUCCUAACCCGCCAUAUGGGGAUGAUGGAGGACAGGUUGCAUGUCAUAGAGGAUAGCAUUGCGGCUGUCAUGGCCACGUUUCUAAGCAGCUCAAGCAGUUCCGCCAUGACCUCAGUUGUCAUGACGAUGAUAAGAAAGCGCUGAUCGAGGAGAUCGUCUCUCGCAGCGACGAGGUAGAUGACUUCAAGAUGAGGGUGGCGAUCCUUAAAAAGGCAGUUGUUGUAGUAUCGAGACGCAGAAGAAGUACACCCCAAAGAUCCGUGUCCCUGAACCCCAAUGCUUCAAGGGCACACGCGAUAAGAAGAAGAUCGAUAAUUUCCUAUGGCACAUGGAACACUACCUCAAGGUGCUACGGUUGGAGGACGAAGACGGCAAGGUCCAAAGUGCUUCCAUAGACCUCGCUGACGAUGCGAUGCUAUGGUGGCGACGUCAUUCCGCAGAGGCCGCGAAGGGCCAAUGCAAACUAAACACUUGGGAGGACUUCGUGCGUGAGCUAAAGACACGGUUCUACUCAGAGCACGUCGAGUACCUGGCAUGGAGGCAACUUCGACGGCUCAAGGUUUAGGGUUUAGGAUUUAGGGCACAUGGGAACCCUCAAGGAGUACAUCAAAGAGUACUCUAAGCUGAUGCGUGUCAUCACUAGCACGGCUGAGGAGGACAAACUAUUCUUCUUCCUUGACGAUCUCCAACCAUAAACUAAUAAGGAGCUCGUGGCGAGAGACAUCAAGGACGUGAGCUCCGCUAUUGCUUUGGCAGAGAAGCUGCCGGAGUAUGAGAAGCUGGACUUCACUUGUGGCAAACCACCCAAGGCAGGCAAGGCCAAAGGCAGGGGAGAAAAAAGAAAAAGAUCUCUUUUUAUCCUACGGUUGGAGAACGUCAAGGAAAUGAUCAUUAGGCCAAGAGAUCAUCUUUCUCUCUUGGCCCUUGUGAUGUCCUACGGUUGGAGAACGUCAAGGAAAUGAUCAUUGGGCCAAGAGAUCGUCUUUCUCUCUUGGCCCUUGUGACAUCACAAGGGCCAAGAGAUCGUCUUUCUCUCUUGUCUCUUGGCCCUUGUGAGAUCACAAGGGCCAAGAGAGAAAAAAGAAGAAGAUCUCUUGCUAUGUCUGCAGAGGUGAUCAUUGGGUGCGGGAUUGUCCAAAGAAAAAGAUCGUUAACGCCAUCCAAGCCGAGGAGGGUCGAGACGAGGCGGAGACAAAGAUGGUCGCGUUGCGCCUUGUUAGCGUGUAAUAUAUCGAAUCCCUGGAUUGUAAUGCCAACUUUGGUCAAAUUGAUCAAAGUAUGGUACGAAGGCGAUAGACAAAGUUCUCAUAUUGCCUUGAAGGAGUUGGAAUGGUUAGAAGUGAUUUUCAAAAGUAUUUGAGUGUUUUCGGCGCAAACCGAGCGCGAAAACAAACUCCGAAGUGUUAAGUUUGCUGAGACAGUAGAAUUUUUAUUGAGUACCGAAACCAAGAAAGGAGUACCGAUACUCAAUUGAGUUACUGAGUUGGGGGUAUCGAUACCCAGUGCUCGCGUAUCGGUACGUCAGUUCGAGUACUGGUACUCAGUUCUGCGAAGUGCAGAAAUUGAAUGGUUGCAAAUAAUGAAAGGUGGAGGGUCUAUUUGUAAUUGCUGGAACUUAUAAAUAGACCCCAAUACAUUCUCUUCCUUUUGCAUGAGAAAACACUCUCAUUUCUCAUUUCCCCUCAUCUCCUCUCCUUUUCUCUCUAGAAUCUCUCCAACAAGAAGCAUUUGGAAGGGAUUAAAAGGGUGGAUUGGAGCUUUUUGAGGAGAAGAAACUCAAGAACAAGUAAGAGCUUGUGGUGCAAAGUGGUCAAGGUCAGUCUCUUUGCAAGUAUGAGUUAGGGUUUGGUUUCAUUGCCCUAAAAUACAUAUUUUUGGGAUUCUUGAGACAUGAGAACUCAGAGUAAUCCAUGAAUCUCCAAAAAAAGGGAAUGUUUAUCGUUUAUGUAAACCCUAGGGUCAAAAUUAGGGUUUUGUAGGAAAUGAGGUUUAUGAUGAAAUUGAUCUCUUGUAUUCCUAAUUGAAGGAUAAUUCAACGCGUUGGGCAACUCGGAUUGGAGUUUCUACGAGCCUACGACGUCCUAUUGAGGAAAAACGUCGUUUUGCUAUCAUUAGUAUUGGAUCGAGUUAAAUCGGCAACAAUAAAUCGCGGGACGUGAGUUCUCGCUCCUUGGCAUCACUAUGAGGUGAGUGGUGCUAUCCGAAAUAGAUGGAUUCUCUUUAUGUCUAAGUCACCAUUAGGGUUGUAAACGAGCCAAACUCGAGCGAGCUGGAGCCAGCUCGAGCUCGGUUCGUCGUCUUCAAGGUCGGCUCGUGUUCGGCUCGAGCUCGUGACGAGCUCGAAAACUUUGGCUCGUGAUCGGCUCGAAACUUAAUCGAGCCGGCUCGUGUUUGGCUUGUUAGCUCGAGUAUAUAAUGCGACCGAAGUUCGAUGCCGCCGAAGUUCGCUGCCGGAGGUUUGCGAACGGUGAAGAAUCGUUGCCGAGGGUGUGCGAAUGGCAAAGGGAACUAGGGUCUAGGGUUGUGAAAGACUGAGAGAGAUAGAGAAAGAGAAAGGCGGCUGUGGAACUGUGCGGUGCUUGUGUCCUUGUGCGAGUCUGAGAGAGAGAGAAAAAGAGAGACUCAUGUGUGUUGUUGUAAUGCUGUGUGCAGCUAUAGUGUGAAAAAAAUUAGGUAAAAGCUAAUUACGGUUGGGAGUUAGCUGGACAUAGGAAUAGAAAGAGUGGAAUUUAUUUCAUGGGCUUAUGGGCCAUGAGUGAAAAUAAGAAAUUCUAAAUAUAAAUAGGCCUACGGGCCUCUUUUAUAAAUAAGCUGAAUUUUUUAAAAAAAAAUUGGGCUAAAAAUUUAAAAUUAAUAAUCUGUAUUAUAUAUUUAUAAUACAAAUAUAAUUAUAUAUAUAUAAUAUAUAAAAUUAUAUUAAUAUAAAAUAAAUAUAAUCGAGUUGUUAUCGAGCCAAACACGAGCGAGCUAACCCUAGCUUGUGUUCGACUCGUUUAUUAAACGAGCUGAAAAAUUCAGCUCGUGUUCGUGUCACACUCCGAGACCCGCCUAUUUGGUCGGAUUCGGGCACGCCGACAGACCGCCGGAUGGACAGAGUUUUUUCUGUACAUUCUAGGCGUCACAAUCCAUACAAAGCGCGAGGUUCCAACCAGAAACAAUAAUCAAACAAGGAUUGCAUAAGGAAGUAUCAAAAACAUAAAUACAACUAUGCUAAUUACAAGCAUUCAUCCCAGGUUUUACAUAUUACAAUUUUCCUUUACAUUUAACUUCCAAAUACAAUCGAUAAUAUUACAACAUUAUUUUCUUCUUUUCUACAACCCCUAACUAGGCCGACUUUGGGUAUUUCUAUUUCUGGUCUUUGUGAUAGGGCGCUAUCUACGAAGCUACGCUCUUUCCUUGCGCCGCCGAGCCCCUCGCAUGUGAACCUGAAACCCCAAAACCACGUGGGGUGAGAACUAUAUGAAUAUAGUUCCCAGUGGGUACGGCAACCCAAGGAAAGAGCUCGACCCAUCAGAUCCGAAAGAGGCACUGCAAAUAUGUUAGUCCAGCAAUAUCCACAGAUACAUAUAUUUUCAUCAAAUAAUUUAUGCAACUAACAGUUACCAUGUUCAUGCCUCACAACAUGCAAUAAUGCAAGUCAUGCAACUCAACGUGCAACAUGCAAGUAGAUCUAAUGAUUCUACCUUCUAUUUCGCUAUCCACAGCUCAUCCAAUUGACUUCUAAGGUUUUCUCAACUUAGAUUCAUGUCAUUUACAAUUCUGCUCAUAAGGUUUCAUCUACCUUUACCAUUUACUCACAAGGUUUCAUCUACCUCUAUCAAGCUAUCUACCCGACUCAAUCUUGAGUCAAUCAUUUGCGGUGUACCGCGUAAAGCCAUGCUUGAGGUGAAGGACGUCUCGCAUGCACCUCAACCUUAAUUCCACUCAACUAGGAUACCGAAUCCACUCUACUAGGAUUCAACUACAGCUCAUAUGCUUGUCACCCAAUCAACUUAGCUAACCCGAAGGUUCGCCCCGACUCACAGUGCAAUCCAAUAGGUAAGGAGACCUUCCCGCUCACAAACCUGAGACGGUCUGCUGGACAAGUACGUUAGUCCAUCGUGUGAAGACUCUGGAGCUCACUGCUUUGGUGGAGCGACCACCGCCAGGAAAGAACAGACUAUAUGAGUAUAAUCCAAUCCUCUCCAACUAAGGAUACUCUAUCAACUAGGAAUAACAAUGACUCAAGAAAUCCACCAAUCCCAACAUUCAUGUCACAAGUGUCCCUACUACACUAGUAUCACAUGCCACAUAUCAACAACUCAGGAAAUCAUCUAUCCCUAUGUUCAUGUCACAAUGUCUCUACUACACUAGUCCAAAUGCCACUCAAUCUACUUUGACAUUCUAGUUGUCCACAUCGAGUAUUAUAGUUCGUAUGUCCUUGUUUUCCAAUGUCGAGUUCUCUAAUCCACCAAGAGUUUAUCGACCCAAGUUCAACAUGCAUAUUUCAUUUAACAUGAUCCGCAAUAUGUCAACAUGUAUAAUUCGUUUAGCAUAUUCUACAAUAUAUCAACAUGCAUUCAUCUUAGCAUAUUCUACAAUAUGUCAUCAUGCAUUUCAUCUCAAUGGUAGGUAACAUCGACCAACAUAAUAUGAUUCUUGCAUUCAUAUUAUAAUCCACAACCUACCGCUAUACAUAUAUGCAUCAAUAACAAAACCGCAUUCCACUUCGACAUGAAAGCAAGCUAAUAUCUUCGAUGAGCACAACCUACCUCGCAACACUCUCUGAUUGCUCGUCGACACUUGCAAUCAGCCUCCCGCGGCACUCGUGGUCCGGUUCAACCCGAACUCGCAAACGAUCAGUAGCCGCAUAUCAUUCCGCAACCUAGGGUCUUCAAGGGCCUUUAUCUAACCUUCAAUUAGAGAUUAAUAGGGUUCAAUUAGAUCAAAACCCAUUCUUGCCCCAAAACCCCAUUCCUAACCCUAGCAUAAGGAAAUCUCUAAAUAACCUAAAAUUAAAUGGAGAAACAUGCUAGAAUCACUCUAGAUACCACUAGAACAUUUAAGCAUAAAGGAUUUAACUAAAUUCUAAAAGCUUACCAAAAUGCGAAUGCCGAGACGGAAGCACGCCGCUUAACCGGGCAUAAGAAGGCUCGAACCGUCGCCCCACAUGAGUUCCCAUGCCCGCUCUCCACCAAGCUUCCGAAUUUCGGAGUGAGAUCUAGAGAGAGUAGAGAGAUAUCUAGAGAGAGAAAGGGAGGGUUUCUCUCUCCCUCUCCAUGCGUGUAUGUGUGUAGUGUGUGGUGUUUGGUUGAGGAGGAAGGAGGAAGGAGGAAGAAGGGGAGACAAGAAGCUCCUUUUAUAAUCAACAUCCCUCACAUUAAUAUAAUUUAAGUUUAGCAGCUCAGAAUCUGUUCAUUUUCGUCAAAGCCCUUCUGAAUGUCCGUUUGUGCUCAAAUUUGACAGUCAGGCUCAGUUUAAGCUAAUAAGAAGAAGGAAAUUUUAAUCUUUCAGUUUUGACCAUUUUUUAUUACCGAAAAUCCUACCGACUAAAAUCUCUAGUAGAUAGGAAUCGGAUUUUAUUUCUCACUUUUCGGGUGUCAGAAAAAUAUGAAACUUUAAAUCUAGCCUCAUAAAAAUAAUUUCAACAUAUACCCAGACUUUCAUAAUUUUCUGACACUCUGAAUUUUCUGCUAAAAUAUCAGCCCCGUUUCUCACAGAGAAGUCUAAAUCUUCUGUUUUCGUUUCGAUUUCAACACAAGCCAUUCCAGACUUAUAUUUUGUUUCUUUAAGUCCAAUAAAAAUAGUAUCUUACACUAUUUUUAUUUACACUUGCUUUUAUAUUAAAAUUCGGUACAUCAACAAUUAUAAUGUUUGAAUAUCCUUUUCAUUUAUUCUACACUAUAUUUAGAAUGCUUGUCAGUUGGCUUGGCACCGACUAUCUAUGCCACAUUCAUGAAAAGGAUAUUCAAACAUUAUAAUUNGAGCGAGCCGAUCUCGAGCUCAUUUCGAGCCGAACACGAGUUGGUUCGCGAACAACGAGCUGGAUUGCCACCCCUAGUCACCAUAUUGAUCAUGUACGUGUAUAUAUAGAAAUCAUGCAUUGUAGGGUUAAAUAGUAGUAUGCUUAAAUUUCUUGUAUGUUGCUAAAGUAAAGAUAAUGACGUGAAUUGAGAAUGGAACAUUGGACACAUGAAAACUCUAUAGAUGUAUAAACUAAGAUGUGAAUAUUGACAAUGUAGUAAACAUGGUGACAUUAUGACUAAAUGAGUUGAUUAGCACCUUGAAGCAUUGAAUGCUAGAGAAUGGUACACUUUUAGUAUUAUGACAUUAGUUGACAUGGUUUUCUCAUGAUUAGAGGAUUGGAUCAUACUCACAUAUAAUUUGAUGUACUUGAGGAUGGUCGCUCCACCUCAAGCGGUGAGCUUCGGAGUUGUCACACCUGGGCGGUAGUGAAAUUUUUCCCAGCAGAUGGUCCCAUCGGGUUGUAGCGGAAUUCUCCCCGACAAAAAAGAAUUUGGUUUGGUGAGUUGGACUCAACUUAUGGGUUAGCCGAGAUGAUUGGGUUAUGGCAAUAAAAAUGACAUGUAUCAUGAGUAUAAUGGUAUAUUAUUUUAGUUUCAUGUUACAGAUAUAGUAGCUGUAUUUGUAUUAAGUUAUAUAUAAAUAUCCUUGCUUUUUUACUUACGCCUAAUUAGACCUAGUGGAAAAGUCGGCAGAAUCAGCGGUCAAAUUCACUGGAAACUUCUUUUAGUUCUCACCCCACCAUUUUACAGAUCCUAGCGCGAGUGGAGCGAUCUAGGAUCGCGGCAAGGACAUAGAACCCUAGGUAGAGGACCUCCUUGCACUAGUUGUACCCUAUGUUGUCAUCUUUUGUACUUGAUGAAAAACUUGUAAAGGGUGAAUUUGAGAGAUGAACAAUAUAUGUAAUGAUAUUUGGGUAAAUGAUGUAUUUUGAGUUAAUGUAAUUAAUGUUUAACUGUUGGAUGUAGUAGUUAGUUAUUAUUCUCACUCACUCUUGUAUAUUUACCUUGUGCAAAUCAUGCAUAUUGUCGUUUUCUUGGGCAAACUCCUUACGCAUGCUGUUGUUGUGGUUGAGCCUUGGGCGGAUAGGAAAAACUAUGUCUGUUCGGCUGUCUAUGUGCGCGCCCGAACCGACCAAAUAGGCGGUCCUAGGGCGUGACACAACGUGAUCUAGGGGCAGGCGAGCAGCAGCAAGCCGCUCAAGAAGGAGCUUCUGUUUGUGGAUGUGACCCUCAAUAGGAGAGCCACUCGGGCGCUCAUAGACACUGGAGCAACCCACAACUUCAUUACUGAAGCUGAGGCCAAGCGACUGGGCCUCAACCUCGAGAAGGACAUGAGAAAAUUCAAAGUUGUCAACUCGAUGGCACAGCCUAUUGCAGGGGUAGCCAAAGGGGUGAUGAUCACUGUAGGACCCUGGAUGGGUACAGCGAGCUUUACUGCCGCGACCAUCAAUGACUUCAAAGUUAUCCUCGGCAUCGACUUCCUCGCUUCGUCGAAGGCAAUUCCGAUGCCGAAUCUCGAGGCCCUAAGCAUCAUGGAGGAGGCGGCCCCAUGCAUGGUCUUGGCAAGCUGCGGUGAGCCAGCGGCAACUGACACCCUUUACACUCUACAGUUGCGGAAGUGGGUGAAACGCAGAGAAGUUACUUACCUUGCAGCUAUCCGCAAAGUGAGAGAAGAGGACCUCGAGGAGGAGGGCCCUCCAGUAGAGAUUGAUGCGAUUCUGGGAGAGUUCAAGGACGUCAUGUCAUAGGAGUUGCCCAAGAAACUUUCACCUAGGUAGGAGGUAGACUAUAUGAUCGAGCUCGAGCUCGAGCCAGGAGCUAAGUCACCAGCGAAGGCACCAUACCACAUGGCCCCGCUAGCUCGAGGAGUUGCAACGUCAGCUAAAGGACCUCAUCGAUGUGGGCUUCAUAAGGUUAUCGAAAGCACUCUAUGGAGCACCGGCCUUGUUCCGAAAGAAGAGCGAUGGAAGCCUGUGGCUCUAUAUUAACUACAGAGCGCUCAACAAGGUGAUGGUAAAGAACAAGUAUCCUAUUCCCCUGGUUGCAGUUUUUUUUUACCAACUUAGCGGAGCGAAGUUCUUCACAAAAUUGGACCUUCGCUCGGGGUAUUACCAAGUCAGGAUUGCGGAGGGUGAAGAGGAGAAGACGACAUGCAUGACGAUAUAUAGAGCCUAUGAGUUCCUCAUCAUGCUAUUCAGCUUGACGAAUGCGCCGGCAACUUUCUGCACUCUGAUGAAUAAGCUAUUCCACCCUUACCUCGUUCGCUUCGUGGUAGUGUACCUCGAUGACAUCGUCGUGUAUAGCAAUACUCUAGAGAAGCACGUCGAGCUUCUUCGAACGAUCUUUCAAGUACUGCGGAAAAAUCAACUUUAUGUCAAGAGGGAGAAAUGCUUUUUUGCUAAAGAGGAGGUGCACAUCCUUGGCAAUUGGAUUGGCCGAGAACAAUUCCGCAUGGACAAGCAGAAAGUGUGGGUAUCUGUGAGUAGGAAGCACCCACGACGGUGUCUGAGUUGCGAUCCUUUCUCGGACUCGUCAACUAUUAUCGCUACUUCAUCGGGGGCUACUCUACUUGAGCAGCCCUAUUGAUGGACUUGCUGAAGAAGACCUAGUCAUGGGAUUGGACCCCUUGGUGCACGAAGGCAUUCGAGGACUUGAAGCGGGCGAUGACAAAGGACCUGGUGCUACAUCUUCCUGACUGCAACCGCCCAUUUGGGGUGCAUACUGACGCCUCGGACUUCGCUAUCACCGGUGUCCUCAUGCAGGACGGGCACCCCAUCGCCUAUGAGAGCUACAAGCUCAACGACACUGAACAGCGGUAUACGGUGCAAGAGAAGGAGAUGACCGCCAUAGUGUACUGUCUCAAGACUGGCGGCACUAUCUUCCUUGGAGCAAGUUUGUUGUGCGGACAGACAAUGUUGCAACGAUCUACUUCCUCACUUAGAAGAAGCUAUCACCUAAGUAGGCGAGGUGGCAGGACUUCCUAGCGGAGUUUGAUAUGGAACUCGUGUACAAAUUCGAAAAGGAGAACCAUGUGGUGACACACUCAGCUACAAAGCAGAGUUGGCAGCAAUGUGCCAACUCCAAGGCGCGAUUAGAGAGCGAAUCCACGAAGGGACUUGCGAAGACCCUGUGGCCCAAGAACUCGUGUGACUCGUCAAGGAGGGCAAAGCGCAGCGGUUCUGGCUUAGCGAUGGGCUACUCCUCACCAAGGGGCGUCGCAUCUAUGUGCCCAGGUAGGGUAAUCUUCGUCGAGAACUUAUGAAAGAGUGUCAUGACUCCAAUUGGGCAGGACAUCCGAGGCAGAAGCGGACCAUGACACUACUCGAGGCCGCCUACUAUUGGCCUCAUAUGCACGACGACAUGGAGGCGUACAUGCGGAUCUAUCUUGUGUGCCAACAGGACAAGGUGAAGCACCAGAAGCCAGGGGGCCUCCUCGAGCCCUUGCCUACACCAACGAGUCCAUGGGAGAGUGUCUCAAUGGAAUUUAUCUCUGCCUUGCCCAAGGUAAGGUUGUUAGGGUCCAUCCGCUUGGUGGUGGACCAAUUCUCCAAGUAUAGGACCUUCAUAGCGGCACCAGCGGACUGCACGGUGGAAGAAGUGGUGCGCUCUUCGUCAGCAACGUGUGAAGCUUUAGGGCAUCCCUGAAAGCAUUGUGAGUGAUUGCGACCCUAGGUUCACGAGCAAGUUCUGGACGGAAGUGUUCCGGAUCUUGGGGUCGAAGUUGCUCUUCUCCGCUAGCUUCCACCCGCAGAUGGAUGGUCAAACGAUGCGGGUGAACGUGUUGCUGGAGAAGUACUUGCGGCACUAUGUUAGUGCCAACCAGAAGGACUAGGUGCAUCACUUGGACGUUGCCCAAUUCUCUUACAAUCUGCAGUGGAGCGAGUCAACAAACUUUAGCCCGUUCGAGUUGGCAAGGGAGAACGUAGCCACUCACUCUACAUUCCGCUACUAAGGCGAGCAGGGCCGCAGCCCCAUGGCCCUCCAAUUCACCUCUCAUUUGCAGGAGAAGGGGGACAUUGCGAGGACCUAACUUGAGAAGGCGGCCUGCCGAAUAAAGAAGUGGGCUGAUGCAAAGCGGGGACCCUUAGAGUUUGCUGAGGGGGACUGAGUUUUGGUCAAGCUGCAAUCGCAACAAUUCAAGACCUUUCAGAAAGUGCACUAUAGGCUUUUGUGGAAGUACGAAGGGCCUUUCACCAUUGUGAAUAGGGUGGGCAAGUCAGCCUACAAACUGCAACUCCCCACCAAUCUGAAAAUCCAUCCUGGCUUUCAUGCUAACUGCUUGCGGCCCUACCAUGAAGACGCUGAAGCCCCGAGCUAGGGCGUGUCGCAGCACGCUCCCGCCACUAUGACUACUACUAUCGACAAGGAGGUCAAAGCCUUGUUGGACACUCACACCAUUCGUCAUCGUGGCGUCCCACGGAGCAUCGAGUACCUUGUCAAAUAGAAGAACCUCCCGCAUGGCGAAGCAAGCUGGGAGAAGGCUGACACUUUUUGGAAGUAUCAGAAGCUGAUUAAUGACUUCCAACACAAGCGUGCGACGAGGGCGACUGCGCAUUAGGUGGGAGAGGUUGUCAAGACAUAGAAAUUUUCUCCAAGAUUUUUUCUUUGCAAUCAUUCAAACUCUAACGCUGAUAUCUGUCAGAGGUUUUGCCUAAAUCUUUUAGAAACAUCUCUACGGAUCUUAGGAUGGCGCGAAAACCAAGAAGUCUCUUAGAGUUUUUAUAUUUCUAUAAUGUGUAUUUAAUUAUUAGGACUCUUGGGAGCUCGUAGCCUCCCCUUUUGGCUUGUAGUUUCAUGCCACUUGGCUGGCAUAUUUCUAUUUACUUUAUAAGCGGCGAGUGGACUUUAAAUAGAUAUGGCCUCUGCCCCCUCAACUCAGAAUCUUCAUUUGUAAUCCACUUCAAGAGUAAUGAAGAGCUUUCGUUAUCUCUCUCUCUUAUUCUUAGUCUAGAGCGAGUAGGUCCUAACUUAGCAAAUAGAGAGGUAGGCUUGCUCACUUCGCAAAGGAAGACGAGUGCCACACGGGCUAAACAAGCGAUUUAGCUUAAAUCCAUGACAACAAGCUUAAGAUCCUAUGGCUUGGAUUCACUUGCUAAUUUUAUCAAUUUAUUUUUAAUACUAGAAAUUUCAAGUGAAUUUUUUAAUCCCUUGGAUGUAACGGUAUAAGAUGUACUUCCAUAUAUGAGAUGUAUAAUUAGCAUUUUUUUAAGUGUUAGUCUUACACCACAUUCAUUUUAUAGUCUAGACUUAUUUACUUAUCUUAUCACUUUUUUCUUCUGUACUAAAAAUUCAAAAUGAGUUUUUUAAUUUUUGAAUUAUCGAGUGUAAGAUGUACAUCCCAUAAUAAAAUGUUAAAGUAGCAUUUUUCAAAAGUUUAAAGUGAAACAUAAUAAACACUUUUUAAAAUUUUAAUAUUAAAAAAAUGAUAAAAUUAGUGUGAAGGUGUUAGUCCUUAGAUAAGUUAUAAGAUUUAUAUCCUUAUUUUGAAUGCACAUGUUGCAUUAUUUGAGCAAUACAUAAUAGGAUAUUAAAAAAAAUUUGCUUUUUUUUUCAAAAAAUAAAAAAGUAAUGCUGCUUGUACAAGAAAGUAAUUUUCUCUAUCACAGUUUUAAUACACUAGAUUUGUAACAUUCCUUCAAAUAUCAUCACAUUGCAUAAAAGUAUAAGAAAAAAAAAAUUUAAAGCCUCAUUGCCUCAUUUCAAUAUGUGUAAAUAUCAUAUUGCUUCUGAUUAGAUUAUUUUUCGCCAACUUAGUACAAUACAAUUAGUUCAGAACAUAUCGUAAGUGUUAUAACUGCUAUAGAGAAAAAAAAGUUUUGCUUGUACACCCAAAAAGAGUAUAAAUCUUAAAUCUUACCAUCUAUAGGUUUAAACAAAUUCCUUAGUGUGAAAAAAAUUAACCGCGAAUGCCGUGUACAAGUAGCACCGCUUCAUUUAAAAACACCUAAUUUAAUAUUUUAAAGAGUUUAAAAUUUUAACAAUAAUGUAGAUUUUAGAGAAAAAUAAACACACACCUCCUCAAUUUUAUUAUAUAGCACAAUAGAACCUUCAACUCAUAUGAAAUUACUAAUUAUACAGUCAUUUUUAUUGUAUGCCUUAUAUCAUAAUCUUAUAAAACUUUAAAAAAUGAUAGAAAAAAUUAUUUCUACUCUAACACACCAAAAAAAAAAAAAAACAACACAAGUCGAAGAUAGGUUAAGUUUGUUCUUCAAUUCCAAUACUUAAUUUAAAAAUUGGAAGAGAAAAAAAGAGGUUUUUUAUAUUUGAAGUCCUACAAAAAUCAUGUAUAAGUGGCGCGAUCAAAAUAAGGCAUACAAUUAAUAAGUUAAAUUAAGAAGAAUAUAUCAAAUUAUGUGAUAAAGUUCAAAAUUGAAGUUUAUGAUAAACAAAACUAAAUUUAGGAGAAUUUUGCACUUUGUCCCGCUAUAUUUUAUUUUGUUUAUGAUAUAAAAUGAUGGUAGAUAUUAUUACCGACGUCGAGAACUCUUUCAAAAUUUUUGAAUCUUCUAAAAUAUCAAAGCGAGUGCACUUUACAUGCUAUAUUUUUAAACUAGGCCCACAAAAUCUACAUAGUCCUACUUAUGGAUGUAAAACCGAACCGGUGGCCCAUUGGCUGCCCGGCCCGGCAGGGCUUAGGGCCCAGCUUCAGCACGGCACGAGUACUAUAGCGCCUGGUCGGCCCCUACCGGAACUUUCGGGUUGUGCUGGCCCUUGAUCUUUGGGCCCAAUGGCCCGGCAUGGUUCGACCCGAAAAGGGCCUAGGCCGCGCCAGGCCGAGGAUAAGCCCGCAGCGCCGCACGGCAUGGUCCGCUUGGGCCGGGCAAAACGAGUCAGCAUGGCCCGGAUCCCCAAGGCCCAUGACAAGUUAGCUUCUGGCCCAGGAGCUCUCCUUACAAAGUCUGUCAAUGCAGACCUUGGGAAUAAUUUUGUUCCAAUGGACCAAACAAUUUUAGCCCAUUAAACCAAAAAUCCAUAUUCUUUUAAAAAAUAAUAAUAAUAAUAAUAAUUUAUAAAUUUUUUAUAAAAAAUUAAAAAUUUGCUAUUUUAUAAUUGUUUUUAUAAAUUUUAAUUUUUUAUGAAAAUAUCAAUUUGAAUGGAAAUAAUUUAUUAUUUUUUAAAAAAAUUUAUAUUUUUUUUAAAAAAAUAUAAAAUUAUUUUUAUAUUUUUUAAAAUUAUUUUUUAUGAAUUUUAAAAAUUAUUUAUAUAUUUUUAAGUACUCUAAAUUAAUUUUAACCAUUCUAAUCAUCAAUUUGAAAUUCCUAUCAUCUAAAACGAUUUAGGAGGACAAAGAAUUCCAUCCUCCUAAAAAAAAUGGUAGCUCAACUCUCUCUCUCUCUCUCUCUCUCUCUCUCUCUCUCUCUCUCUCUCUAUAUAUAUAUAUAUAAGCUUUUCAAGCCUUCGAUUGAGCCUGGUAAUAUUCAAACUCGACUGGAAAUAAAUUUUUUUUUUUUUUCUAUUCAAACUCGUUCAUUUAAUUUUGAGUCGAGCUCGAACGAGCCAAACAUGAGUAGAACAUGAGCCGGCCCACUCAUUUGCCAGCCCUAUCCAUUGAUGAAGUAAAAAAUAUUCUUUUAAGUAAUUUCGUUACAUAUUUUUUAAGCACUGUUAUUAUAAAGAAAUGUUACCUUCCACUACUCAUAGGGGUGGAUAUCAUACAAUUCUUUUGUUUGGAGUAUUUGUUUUUUUAAAGAAAUUAAUAAAAUAAGUGGAUUAAUAUAGAUCAAGCUAUGAAUGCCAACGAAACUACCCACUCAACGCCAGAAAAUUACUAUCAUCCUAACUAGGGAUCACUAUCAUCCUAACCUGUGAUCACUAUUAUCCUAACUGUACAUUUCUUUAUCCAACGGCUGAAAACUUAUGAGUAUGAAAGAAUUUAUACUCAUAAGAAUAUAAUAACUCUACUCUAUUUAUAAUAUCAUAUUUGAUUCGCUCAGAUAUAUCUGUUUAGAUAUAUAACUGCAACCAAAAAAAAUUGUAGUCAAGGCAUUGGUAUUCCACCUAAAUGGAGUAUAAGAAUAUAUAUAUAUAUAUAUAGAGAGAGAGAGAGAGAGAGAGAGAGAGAGAGAGAGAGAGAGAGAGAGUUGAGCUAGAAUACUAUUGAUAGCAAACGGGCUCCGUUGCCACCAAUUUGUUUUCGAUGACGGAGCCUCCAAAUCGACGAUCGGCAGCAUUGAACAUGAUCUAUACCACUUGAAGUGUUUAGAAAUCAAAUUUCAAAUCUUUUCGACAUCAUUUACCUAAUGAUUAAAAGGUUUCAAAAUUUGUAAUUUUAAUGGUCGAUAUGAAACGUUUUCUCGUUUAACGACGUAAAGAUAUUCAAAUCAAUUGAAUUUUUAUUAAAAAAUUCUUUAAACUAUUUAAAACAAGAUCUAUACUCAUGAUCUUGAUUACAAGACUGCUAUCAUCAUUUUUUAAAGAAUAUUCAUUUUUAGCCGUUCAUUUUUGUGUGCACUCGAUGGAUAAGAGAACAAUGUCGAAAAUAUAUGAAAUUUGAUUUCUAAACACUUCAAGUGGUAUAGAUCAUGUUCAACGAUGCCGAUCGUCGAUUUGGAGGCUCCAUUAUCGAAAACAAAUGAGUGGCAACGGAACCCGUUUGCUAUCGAUAGUAUUCUAGCUCAACUCUAUAUAUAUAUAUAUAUAUAUAUAUAUAUAUAUUUAUUUAUUUAUUUAUUUAUUUAUUUAUUUAUUUAUUUAUUUAUUUAUUUAUUUGUGGCUCUAUAGUCCUUUGUGGGAGGACUGGGCACAUAGAGGUAGAAGAGUCAAAGCUCCCAGAUAAUCAAUAAAGACAAAGAGAAAUGAAAUUACAAGCAUUCUCAAAAAAAAAAAAAAAAAAAAAAAAAAAAAAAAAGCAAAAAAUAAGUACCGGCACGGCACAAUGCCGCGGCACCCAUCUGCGUAUUGCGCGAGACACUCACCCGCGUAUGGCGCUGUCUUGUGGGAUACAAAGGUGUGUGCCGCGGCACGACGGGGNAUACUGGUUUAUGCUACAUUAUUUACCUUGAAGCUCUCUUCACUUUAAUUUGAUCCCUUCCCGGAUGAUAUAGCUUGCAGCUCGUAGUGUACAAUUGGGAGUAAUUUAAUCUUCGAUGCUCUCCAAUUGUCCACCUUUGACACUAGAUCCAAUAUAUAUGGACACCUAGAAGAAAGGAAUAUCCAAAUCGGAAAGAAUGUAAACAAAGCUAAAAGUCGAGAGUUUUUAAAAUUGUUAGGAAAUGAAGAUGUUAUCGCAAUAACAGUUGUAGUUUCCUUACCAAUUUAUAGUUUUACUUGCUUAAGCUGUCCAAAGAAAGCCCUAACUGCAUCAAGAUAUAAACAGUCUUCUCAAUAUAGAUCAGUCUCUUUACUAGUAUGCAUCAAAUUCUACUCCAAGACAAUCUGAGUAUACGGCAAAAAAACCAUCAGAAGCAUGUUAGUGAAGGUUAUUGUAAUUAUUACAAUCUAUUAUUGGAAACUUAAUCCCAAAUAUAAAGGGGUAAUUUCCAUGCUUACUAGAUUGGCCCGAUAGACAAGUGAGAACUAGUUUAAAUAUCACUGUUGUGGUCCUUGAAGCACUUUGACUAUCUCCUCGGCUCUUGAUUGGAUGCCUUUAAGAUACUCAAUCAGGAUACGCUGUUGGUAAGAACCUCCUUCCUGUUGCAAAAUAUCAUUUAAGUUAUCCAAAAUUGAAAUGGUAAAAAGGCACAGCAUGAUAAAAGAUAUUCGGGGGUGGUGGGGACUCUAACAUUACCGUGCGAAUUAAUAUUCUCUCUAUUCUUUUCUUGAUAACAGAAUAAAGAUCUUCAGGUGGAACUUGCCCCUUGCCAACUGUCAGUCCAUCGAGCAACAACUUAUUCCAAUUAUUUUCAGGAGCUGCAUUGGAACAACAGAGUGCAAGCAGAUAAAUAUCAAUCCAAGACAAAAUGUAGUGAGAUUAUAAAUAAGCUAUAUCUCAGGUGAAAAGGUAAUGGCCAAACAUACACGUGUUUCCUUGGUUAGCUUUUCAAGAGGAAAAACAAUGCACACGGAGUUAAAGUUUUCCUACAUCAUAGGUAAGAUCGGACUACAAUGUGCAGGAAUGCCCUUACAUCUAAUCCAGAAUAUUGCUUCAAGGUUUAUUAUUCAUUCCGCUAUGCAAAGCCCGCACAUUCAAGGGCAAAAAAUAAAGCCGCAUCAACUACUAAAAAGUUUGUAAAGCCCUCUCAAACUCAAAUUUCGUUGUUCACCAUAGUGAAGCAGCGAUGGAACAGAAGUUUGAUGAUCAUGUUAAAUGCUAGGGUCAAGCAAUAAUUGUGUUUAAAAACAACGAAAUAAAGAAAAUAGGAGAUGUUUUUUUUUAAUGCCACAAAAUAGAUGUUCUAUGCUUAAUAUUUGCCACAAAACAGAUGUUCUAUGUUUAAUAUUUGACUAAACACUACAAAAGGAGGUAUUCAACAGCCGCUCUAAGACACAUGAAGUAAGACCAACAGAUAAUCAACAUUGGAAGCUAUUAAUAUUGGUUCAGGACUGGUGAACCACGCCAAUUCUCACAAAAUCUGCUUCUUAUCGACCCCUCAGAACUAAUCUGCCGUUUCUUGUCAAAGAAGUUGAAAAUUUUCAACUUCAAAAUCUAUAAGAAAAUAUCUCUGAUUCAACUGGUUAUUCUUUUUGUUCUUCACUUCCUACAUCCAAACCCAAAAUGAACUGCUCAUAAGUAGAAAGCGAGGGUGCAAACCAACAAAAACAUUGUUCAGCAUAGAUAUAGAAGCAUUCUUCUUUGUUUUUGUACAUAAAUUGGAAAGAGAGGAUGCGAGCCAACAAAAAGCUAAGUAUUCAGCAGGCAUCCACAAUGUAUGACAAAAAAGUAAACAUACAUAUAUUGACUAAUUACAAAUAGAAGGUAAGGCUUGAGAAGGUUAAGUUGAUAAAUACUCUAGUUAAUAAAGCAGUUUCUAAACCAUCAAUAAUAGAGCACUAAGUUCAAAAUAAAGUGAUAUUAUCUCACUCACCCUCAAUUAUCGAUUCAAGGAAUUUUUCUGUCAUCAACACUUCUCCACCUGCAAAUAAGGAAAUGAGUAAGAACUGACAAGAAAUAGACUUUGACUUGAUAUCUACUGUGUACUAUCAUGUUCAAAGGGCUACUUGUUAAAAGAAGAGUAUGAUAUUCAACUGAGUAAUAGCCCAUAUACCAAAGAAAAUUAAAGAGAAAGCAUACUACUAAUUUUCACCAUCUACGAGUAUAAAACCAAGUAGUUGUAACUAUUUAGUAUAUGACAUGGCAAACAAGAGUUGAGCGUAGGCUUAAGAGUUCUUCAACGAAGAAGGUAACAUUGAAUCUACAAUUCCAUAACUGUGACCAGAAUAAGAAAGUAUAACAGUAAAAAAAUACGGAAACUAGAUUUAAAGAAAUAUACAACACUUCUCAUGAACUUGAAGUUUCAUUAAAUGGGCCUCGAGUCUCGACUCCUAAGUGAAAGAAAGAGCUUACAAUGAGAGAAAACAUGUACUAUAAGUAUAUGAAACUAACCUAACAAAUUAUAUGCAGAAUGAAAUUUACAUAAUAAUAUGCGAAAUUCAACAAACUGAAAAUAUGCAAGAAGAAGAAAGUGUGUUACCAUUGAUUCUGCUAAUGAAAGGCCCCUCUUAACCAACAAGAAUUUAAGAAACAUAAAAUUUCUUUCUCAGAAUGAACUUCUACAGUAUUGACGCUUUAAGUAAUUCUACAUGUAAUGAAGCAACUAUGGCUUUAAUUAAGCUGAAAGUAUGUCCUGGUUUAUACAUUUAAUAAGUAAAAAAGCUAGUGCUUCUUCCAGCAUUUAACUAGAAUAGGACAAAGGAUAGCGGGCAUAACACUCUGCCCUGUAAAGAUUCUGAAUAGCUGGUCAUAACUAUUAUUUGAGAUUAUCUUUCAGGUUAUGGCAAAUCACCAAAAGCUCUUCAACAGUUCAUGUCCUGCCACCAAGGGACAAUGUUAAAUAUAAUAGUUCGAUCAUCUGACAUUUCGAGUGUCUACAACUCUUUAUGACAUUCACAUGUAGUGCCUAUCAAACAUAGCAAUCAUCUUAUCAUCUAUAGCUGCCGGAGUAACGUGUCAUUGAAAAAACAGAGAAAUGCAAUUCAAAAUAAUAAAAAAUGUCGAAUAUCCUGACCUUUGUAAGCAUAGCUACGUUUUCGAAGAACUCUGGAAGCAUAUAAUUGCAAGACCUUUUGCAACAUAGCUUCAAGCCCAGGUUUAUCUCCAUCUUCUUUUGCCUGAAUAGACCAGAUCAUUGCAAUGUGGGUAUGCAACAUAAGCAUGCUGGUUGUAUCUAUAGUAGCCAUUAGCAGCCAUAGUAAAGUGCUUAAUAGUAGUAAUCAGGAAAAUCCAAAGAGAUCAUUCCGUGACCAAAGAAUGUUUAAGAGGAAAUAUAGCUAUAAUACAUGAUAUCAUGGUUUUGUCCUUCCACUUUCUCCGCAGCCUCCAAAUAGUUUCUGCUUACUUCAUCUGGCACAAAAUCAGCUCAACAGUCUAAUUACUCACACAAGCAAAAGAUCCUCUCAAUUCUACAAAAUACUCACUCAAAUCCAAAAGCAACUAAAAUCCACGAGAAAUUUAAUCAAAACUCCUGACCAUCUGCAAUAGACAAGUCAAGGAAAGAGAAAAAGAUGUCUGGAUAGUGAUGUCUACUGAACAACCAUUGGCACAGCUAAGUUUAGGUUAGAAGAGCAAUUUUCUGUCGUUUAUGAAUUUUAAAUGCUUGAUGCAAGUUAAAUUUAACUUUCAUAUGCAGAACACAAUGACACAACCGUCAAUUCAGAACUUCUAUAAUAUUUGUUGGGUUUACAACAUUGUUGACCUCAUAUAAAUAUUCAAAAAGCAUAGAGCAACCAUCACAGAUUUAGUUUGCUGCUCGAGUGAACAGGGAUGAUGAACUCAAAUCAUCCAAAGAAUAUAUCCUCAUGAAACUAUGUAAUCUUACAGAAUUAAGUAAUCAAUUGAUCAAAAUUAAUCGAUGACAAAAUUUUUUUAAAGGAUGAGUGCAAACUUACUUGACGUAAUUGGGCAUUAACCUCUGAAAGAAAUCCUUCAUCUAGUUGUCCUUCUUGUUCCCUGCUCACUAAUUCCUGACCAAUCAGAGGAGGCAAUAGUAAAUUCUUCAUGCAGAAGGUGCAGCUCAUGUAGCAAAGAAUAGGCACACCAUAAAGGAGUUCUUACAAGUAGGAUUGCCUCAUAUCUCUUUAAUUAGCAUGAUACAAUUAGUCUAGACAUUAACAACAAAUUAGAACACUAUGUGACACAAUUCCAUAUAUUUGAUUAUUUCCAUUAGGAUAGAACCUUCUAAAACAGAACUGACAAAAUGUUCUCAUUGGAACCAAAGACAUAACCACUUAACCAGAAAUAGAUCGACAAUUUUAACUUUUGCAUCCUAUAAUAAAUUCCCUUAAUUGCGGAGAAACAUUCCUCGACAAAGGCUGCAUCACGAACUACUUAUUUAACUAGAAAAUAGAAAAUAAAUUAACCACUUUUCACUAACUUCAUGCCAAUUUUAUAGUGCAUAAGGUUUUAAUUGCUAUUACCUUUUGCUUUUAGGUUUUAGCUGCUUUUAGCUUUGCUAUUAAAUCAGAGCAAACGGUAUUUAUGAAUACUUGAGGGAAAAAAAAAAAGAAAUUCCCGGGCAGCAAAUGUUGUUUGCCAAUAUGAUUUGUGAAUGAUAUCUGAUCAUACAGAAGUAGAAUAUUGAAUCUUGCCUUAACAUGUAGAAUAAUUUUGUGAAUAAGGUAAAGGUUCUACUCAACAAAAAUAAAAAGGAAGAAGGUAAAGGUGAUCGGUCUAUAAGAUAAAAGCCAUGCAAAUAUCUCUAUAGAACAUUGUGAAUAUGAACCGUUAACAAUGUCCCAACAAAAUAUCAUAGGUAAACUUAGUUGAAGAGAAAGCCAUCUGAAACUAGGUAAAGAAACAUUAUUUCAUGUGGAACUACAGAAACAACUGAUAGUGCUUGAUGGGGAUUAAAAGCACUGUUAUAGUGUUACAGAAAACGUAAUUUUAACUUGUUAAUCCGAUCUGAGUAAAUCCUAUUAUAAUAUUUACUUUUUCCAUCAGUUUGAGAGCCUCUGGGUCUCUUGGAGGCCAUGAAAUCUCUUCAUGUUCAUCCAUCACAGGAUGAAGAAUCGCCUUGAGAACAUCAGUUGCAGACUCUAUCUUUUCCUGAAAAGGAAAAGAAGAACAAUUGAAAAGCACUUCAUGAGUAAUUGAGGGGCAGAGUUUCUGCACUUGCAUAACUAGUUAUUCCAAUCUAAUCAAGAAAUAACACCAAGAAGCACAGACAGGAUCUACACAGGUAACAGGCACCAAAAGUGUUCAAACUACAGCACUUAAUUUAUUAAAAGAAAACCUCAGACACUAGGCUAACUAGUUACUGCAAUAUAGAAAUACAUACAUGAAAGAAAUCACGAAAAUUUUGAAAUCGGUUGUCAGGCAAUUACACAGUAAUGCUUCACUCACAAACAUAACUAAUAAAGCUAGAUAGCAGAUGUGCUACUUCUCCGUGAUAUAGUCACUGGCAAUUUGCACUUGACACUGAGCAAUUGUUGGCAGUUGCAACACUACAAAUGUAAUGCAUCUAGAACAACCCAACUAACUUAUUGAACAAAAAAACAGUAGAAAAGCUUUCUAUUAGGAAACUUGCAUUGGUCUUAUGAACAAGGCGAUCAACUAUGCUCAUGACUGACAAGGCCAAUUCUUCAUAAUCUUUCUGCAACAACCAAAAAACAGAGCAUAUCAAUACACAGAGAUAAAAUAACUGAAGUUAGACGGUAUAAAUAACAGAGAAUUCAGCAAGUCGCAGUUAAAAACCGUGCUUUAUCAUCAUCUGAUUUGCAUGUAUCAGUUCUAGCAGCAAGACGAAUCCAGAAACCCUCAUUGAAUGCUAAUAUAUUUUCAACUACGAGUUGUUCAAGCUGCUCAAAAAGUAAGAAAGGUCAAUCAGUAGUAUAUGUCCAACAAAAUAAAAAUUAAAAUGCUAUAUAAAAAAUAUAAAAGGUGUAAAAUUCUGUCAUAGCUUUCUAUCCAACAAAUAAAAGAGCUUGUUUGGUGAUCCUGAGAGAGAGAGAGAGAGAGAGAGAUGACAAAUGGACAAACCUAUUACCAUGAUAGCAUAUAGUUAAUCAACAUGUGCAAAUGUGAACUAAGAAUGAAUCCGUUAUUCGGACGAAUUCCAGGGGGGUAUUUUCUUUUGUUCUCAGCUUACUGCUAUCACUGGAUUACCAAGAAGAGAGUUAGUUUUGUUUCAGAGGUUUCACAGUAAUUAUUAAGGGUGAUUUUGUGGACUUAUUUGAUCGUCUUUACAAACGUAAGACUGAGAAAGACAGGCUAUAUUAUGCUUGCAUAGCUGUUAUUCUAAUAAUAAGGAGGUCAAUGCCCUGUAAGUUCAAAGACAUUAUCUUGUCGAAUAGUGUUUAUAAAAUUGUGGUGCAAGAGCUUGCUAACAAAUUAUCUCCUAUCAUGACAAAAUGAUGUCAGUCAAGUUUUGUUAAAAAACAGAGUCAUCCUUGAUUAUGAGGAAUGAGCUCGAGGAACCAUAUUGAAGUGUCAGGAAGAAAGCAUACGGCAGGUUAAACUUGGACUACAUGUGGGACGUGUUAGCAAUCUGGAUAAAAAUGGAUAAUUGGAUUAAGGUGCUAAUCAGCUCGUGCAAAGUCAGUGUUCUGUAAAAUGGUAAUCACAAAAAUGAUCAAUAAACUGAAGACCAGAGAGUGCAUUUAACUUAUCCACUUACUUCUCUAGGAUUUGAAUCCCUCAGCAUAUCAAUAAGUCUGUCCGCUUCGACAGUCUUCUUAAAAGAUUUUUCAGCAUCCUGAUCAACUGCAUAGACUAAAGUACUCCUGUUUAAUGAAUUCAGAUAUAUCAUGAUAUGGUUUGGCAUUCUAAUCCAUCAAAACUCAAAAUUGAAAAACAUCUAGAAUCAAAAAAAAAAAAAAAACUAAAUAGUAACUAGUUUUUGCUACUAUUGCCAACUACUAUAGAAAAAAAAAAAAAAAAAAGAAAAAAAAGAAGCAAAGUUUAGUGGACAAAAGAUUAGAAGAGUGCACUUACAAACACAUAUCUACAUGAUUCGAAAUAAAAUUAUUGACCUGCUAAAAACUUUUAUCUCUAUGUAUUAAAAUACUUAAGCUCACAUUAGAAAAUAUUUUGCACAUCUAAAUUUUUGCGGCUUAGAUGGCAACACAUUUGGUUCAACAAGCCUAGCUCUUUGCAAGGUCUUUGAUAAAAAUCCUCCAAAUUCCUUGAUAAUUAGAUUGUAUUAUUGUUCUUCCAUAUUCCUCAAUCUUCACAUGGUUUCAUUGUCAUUUUGCACAAAUAAAAUAAAAUAAUAUAAAAAUCCUAGACCUCCUUCAAUUGGUGAAGUUCUUGGCUGAAACAAAGCCAAUGUUUGAAUUUCCACAAUCAAAACCUCACAAUAGUCUAUGUAAUACGCCAUAUAAUGCCACCAUUUGACACCUACAAUAUUUAAUUCCGAUAUGAGUACCUUAUUCUCUUUUUUUUGUACCAACGUAUUGUUUAGAAAAAGUUGCAAAAGUCUAAUCUGCCAUUUGAAUUUCUUGCUCCUCAUUUAGAAACAUGUCUUUAACCUCACCAGUACAAAAACUCACACCAAACUUAUCUCCGAUCCCACAAACCUGAAACUCCAUCGAUCAACGGGGUUGUGAACUACUGCUACAUCAUUAAAUGCAAGAGACUAAAGACUAAACGAGAAUGCGACCUGCCACCUAGAAACCCUAAAAUCAAUUAAGAUGACACAAAAUCUGAAAUCAAAAUACUCAAUACAAAAUAAUCAAUAUACGAUAAUCUACCAAACAUUGCAAGCUUAUAGAUGAGAACACAAAUUUAAACAACAUUCCAUAAUCAAGAAGCUAAAUAAGAUUAAGCAAAACCACCUUCCACGCUUCUUGGGAUGGAUCAAAGGGUGACCCUUCCACAAUUCCGCACUAAAAUCCACAAAACUCCCCUGCUUCCAUCUGCGCAAUCUCUUCAAGAACAAAGUGUAAACAACAAAAAUUUGAUCAAAAACAAUAUUAGGGCUAAAACAAAGAGAUAUCAAUUCGUCUUCUACAUGUAAUCUUAACCAAAAAAUAAAAAAUAAAAAAUAAACUACCGAGCUAUGAGAUUGUGAUCGGAAUAUGGUGGCGGCGGGAGCUGCGGUGGUCACCGUCGCCAUUGGAGAGGCGAGGGUUAAUGGCGAGAUGCGAACAGAGAGAUAAGCACGCCUCGUCUCCUCCUCUUCGCUGAGGCGCGGGAGAUGAUGUUCACACGAGGGGCUCGAGAAAUGAGAUAACAGGGAUGAGUGAAAAUACAUAGAGACCCCUCUAUUAGAAAAUAUUCUCAAAUGGCCCCUUCGGCUUAUAUCCUUUCCGAAUUAAAUUUGAGUUUAAAUUAAAAUUAAAAAAAUUAAAUUUUGAGUUUAAAUCAUGAAUUAAAUUUAAAUUGGGACAUCAAAGUUGAAUUAACCAAUUAAAAAACUUUAAUUAUAGUGAAUCAAAAUUAAAUUUUAAUCAAUUUAAAGUUAUAAAUUUUGGAUAUCAAAUUUGAAUUAAUAAUUAAGAUAUUUAAUUACGGUGAAUCAAAAUUAAAUUUUAAAUUUAAAAAUAAAAUGUAAAUUAAAUUUUGAUGCGUUUAGUUUAAACAAUAUACUUUAAAUUUUAAAUUUAUCAGAAUUCAAAAAUAUAUAAAAAUAUUCAAUGUAUAUAUUAAAAAAAUAAUAUAAAAUAUUACAGAUAUUUUUUAAUAAAAUAUAAUAUAUAAAAUUUAUAAAAUAUAAUUUUAUUUUAAAUUUUUGGAUAAAUAUGAUGUAAAAUUUUAUAUUGAUUUAAAAUAAAUUAAAAUAAUUUUUACGUGUAUUUGUACAUACACUCAAUUAGUGUGUGUCUAUAGAGAGAGAGAAAGAGAGAGCAGGGCUAAUGUGCUAUUAGGAGCACAGCAGUUCUUGUGCUUCUAACUUUCUAAUCACCCAUCAAAUUUGAUUAAUAAAAAUAUUUUUUUAAAAAGUAUAAUGUGCAGGUAAUCUCAAAGAUCUAAUGUUAUAUUAAUCGGGAGACACUAGAUAAUUUAUGUGACUUUUAUAUUUUAGAUAUUUUUUAAAAAUAUUAAGGUUAAAUUACAGAAAUUUCUUUUUAUAAAUAUUUAUUUAAAAAAAUAAUUAAAAAACUAUAUUUUUACCCUAUCAACAUGCCAAGUUCUUGUAUGUAACCUUCUCCCUCAAGGUUCCAACACUGUUUCAUCCAUUUCUCAUAAUUUAUACUGAAAAUAACUUUCUAAUUAAUAAAAAUAUAUUAAAAAAUUAUAUUUCUUGUAGAAAAAAUAAAAAUAAUUUAGUUAUUUUGUUCCCUCUAGUAAUUUCAUAUUUCUGAAAAUCUUUAUGAUAUUUUAAGAAGGAUUAAUUUCAUAUACAUCCUUAUAAAUAUAAUGAAUUGUAAAUAUAUUCCUACAAAGUUCAACUUUAAUAUGUUAUUCUUGUAUAACUACUGAUGUUUUCAAAUAUGUCCUUCUAAUUAGUUAUCGUUAAAACACUAUUUAUUUUAUAAGUGAAAUGACCUUUUUGCCAUUACAAAUAUGUCGCUCAAAAAGUCUCAACUGUUAAUUGAAGAGAGGUAAAAAGAUCAAUCCACCUUAUUAACUAAUUAGGAUUAAGUAUUUUAUCUAUGGUUAACUAAUUUUUUCUAACGGAUCCUCACGAUAGGAACAUAUUUGAAAACAUCAGGAUUUUUACAGGAAUAAAACAUAAAAGUUGAAUUUUGUAAGAAUAUAUUUGUAAUUCACUAUUUUUAAAAAUAGGAACAGUACAAAAUUAACCUUUUAAAAAUACAAAAUAAGAAAUUUUAAAAGGCCAAUUUGCAUAAAAAAUUCACAAGUUUUAAGGUUUUACAAAAAUGGGCCGCCUUUUUCGAUUUUACAGAUUCGGUCCAAAUUUUCAACAAACUGACCAAAAUACCCUUAUAUUUUUUCUCUCUUCUUUUUUUCUCACGUUUUUUUUUUUCUCGCCGAAGAAGUNCGAUUACGCCAAGGCCGCGCAGCGACCCUUUUUUUUUUUUUUCCUCUCUGACCCUCCACCCGCCGGCCCCACCGCCGGUGACAAAUAAGAAGUGCUUCUCGGGGCCCAGAAGCACGCCAUCGAGGAAGAAGGAGAAAAAUAGUUACACUCCGGCGAGAACGAUGGUUGCGAUAUAGAGUAAGGGAGAGGUCGUUAUAAAAAAAAUUAUAAAGAGAAAAAAAAUAAGAAUAAUAAAAAAUAAAAAUAAAAAAAUAAUUUACAGGAAAAACUAAAAAUCAUAAAAGACUAAAGAAAAUGAUGAAAUUGCAUUGUUGAAAUAAAAUUGCACUAUUUUUUAAAAAAUUUGUACUGUUUUAUAUGAAAGUUAUAGUCUUUGAGACAGAUAUUAUACUCUUUGGAUAAGAGUUACACCUUUUAGGUGAACGUUGCACUAUUUGGAUGAAAUUUAUACUAUUUCUUAUUCUCUUUUUCUUCUUCCUCCUUCUUCCCCUCCGUUUUCUCGUCCUCCUCCUCCUUGUUGCUUUUCCACCUUCUCCGCCACCGUCGCCGUCAAGCGCCCCUCGAUGCCCUCCUUCUCCACCGGCGCCGCUACCUCUCUUCUCUGCCGGCGUCGAAUUCACACCCGAGUUUCGGGAGGAUAGCGCCCACGCCCAUGCCAGGAGCACGCCCUCGACGCGGCUGCCUGCUGGUCUGGGGCGCGUCCCUCACGAUGCUCCCCAUGCUCCGCGCUUUGGACGUGGCGGGAAACGCGCUGGAGCCGACUGGUGGCGGAGGAGGAUGCGGAUAAGUAUGAGAGAUAGGAGAAGGAGGAUAAAGAAGAAAAAUAAUGUAAAUAUCUCUUAAAGGGUGCAGUUUACAUCUCAAAAAGUGCAACAAGAGGAAAAAUAGGGUAAAUAUCUCUCAAAAGAGUAUAUCUUUUAUUUAAAGAGUGCAACUUUCAUCUUAAAUGAUACAGUUUACAUCUCAAAAAGUGCAAUAAAAGAAAAAACAAUAUAAAUAUCUGUCAAAGAGUGCAAUUAUUGUUUAAAGAGUGUAACUUUCAUAUUAAAGUGUGCAAUUUAUAUCUCAAAUAGUGCAACUUACGUUCAUAAUAUGUUCUUUUAAAACAAUGCAAUUUUAUCUUCAUUUUUCUUCUUCUAUAAUUUUUUAUCUUUGUUUCUUUCUUCCUUCUUAUACAAUUUUUUUUUUUGUCACGCCUCUCCGCCAACGGCCACUGUGCCGGCGACAACGCCGCUAAGUACCCCCGUUCCAAGGCUGCGGCGCUGCAGCGACCUCCGCAACGUCAGCAUCGGUGUUGUCGUUAGAGGCGGCGGAGGAGGCGGAGAAGGAGGGAAAAUGAGAGGGCGAGAAGGGCAAGGAAGGACGAGAGAAGGCAAUAGAGAUGUCGUCAUCGAAGAUGGUGGAAGAGGGUCGGAAAAGGGAAAAAAAAAAGAGUUGCGGCGUGGUCUCUGCGAGGUCGGAAGCGAGGAAAAAGGGGGAUGCAUGGGCGAAGGCGAGGGCUAGAGCGAGAGCAUGAGAGUGAGAGGUGAGACGGGCCAUUUCUGCCUCCGCCUCUGCCUCUGCUGCCUUCUUCGGCGAGGGAAAAAAAAAUGAACGAGAAAAAAAAGUGAGAAAAAAUAAUAAGAGUAUUUUGAUAAGUUUGCUGAAAAUUCGGACUGAAUCUGUAAAAUCGAAAAAGACAAUACAUUUUUACAAAAGCUCAAAAUUUAUAAUUUUUUUUAUAUAAAUUGACCAUUUUUAAAAUAUAAAAUUAAAAAAAUAUAUUUAUCUACCGUUUGGUUCGGGGUUAAGGAAAAAAUAGCUAUUCCAGGAAUAUGGUCAAGUUCAAGGUUAAGGUGGGGUUAAAGUUUUUUUAUGUUUGGUUGGGGGUUGGAUUUAGUCUAGGAUAGUGAUAAAUAGUGUUUGGUUGGAGUAGGUAGGAUAAGAAGAAUAAUGAUUGAUAAAGAGAGUAAAAUUACUAAAAUACCCUCACUUUAAUCAUUUGAAUUAAAUAAUUUGCUUUUAUUUUAUAAAUUCUUUGAUGGCAAUUAGUUUUAAUGAGUAAAGUAAAUUUAAUUAUUUUAUAAAUUUUUUUAUUUUAUAAAUUCUUUGAUGGCAAUUAGUUUUAAUGAGUAAAAUAAAUUUAAUUAUUUUAUAAAUUUUUUUAUUUUAUAAAUUCUUUUAUUGCAAAUAGUUUUUUGUAGUUAGUGUCUCCUAAUUUAAAAUCUCCCUAGCGUGCUUGAUUAAUUAUGAACUGAGAAUAUAUGUUAAAAAAGUAAGUUGUUGGUAUAAACUUAUUAUAUUAGCAGUUAAUUAUUCUAAAUUUAUUUAUUUUAUUAUAAAAUAUUUAAUUUAUGCGCUCCCUCUCCUCCUCGCCCCUCUUCCGACAAUGAAACCCUAACCCCGUCCCGGAACUACGUCGUCCAGUUCACGGACUACUUACCGGCGCGUGGCGGAGCACCGCGCCUACCUAGAGGAGGAGCUCCGGGCGCCGCCGGGGGCGUGGCAAUGGAUCGAGCAGCGGAACCCCGCCGCGGCAUUCCCCACCGACUUCGGCGUCCUCGAGAUCCGGGAUGCGCGCCGGAGGGCGGUGAUCGGGGCGAUCAAGGGGCUGGCGCGGGUGAAGGAUGUGCAGGAGCUUCGAGCGGAGGUGGAGGAGCUUCGAGCGGACGUGGAGAGGCUUCGGGCGGAGGUGGAGGUGGAGGGGAAUGAGCUUCGGGCGGAGGUGAAGGGGAUCCGGAGGUUAAGCUUGGGGAGCAAGACGUGAAGCUCCGGGGUGAGAAUAGGAAGGAAGAAGAAGAAGCAACAGAGAAGAAAGAGAAAAGUGGAAUCUUGGAAAGCGUGCGGGAUUAAAGAUGGGAGGGAGGGUGGGGUUAGUAAACCCCACCCCUUAAGGGUGCGUUUGGUUCGCGCUAUCUUUUAAAGAUUCCUAUUAAUCCAAUGAAAAUAAAAAAAUAUAACGGUGUUUGGCUAAACGCACUAAGUAAUCUAGUUGGUAAUAUUAGAUUCACUUGGGAAUAAGAUUCACCCCAAAGUGCUAAUCUCAUUUUCUUGAGGGAGGAUGGGUAUUCUCAUAUUAAUGGAUUGGGAUAAUCAUAAUAUGUCUAAUCUCUUUCUUUCUUCUUACCCGCCGGCUAAUUGAUAUUAUUUUUCUUUACAGUCUAACCUUAUUGUUCUCUCUAAACUUAUUUUUCUCUCUAAAAUUCAACUUUUUUUUUCUCUCUCUAAACUAAGCUUUCUCUCUCUCUCUCUCUUUCUAAAAUUUCAACUCUCCAACUCCCUCUUGUUUCGACUAUAUUUUUCUUUCUAUUUUUUUAAUUAUGCUCUCUCUCUAACUUAUACUCUCUCUCCUUUUUUUCUAAAAAGAUGUUGAAACUUUUGUUAACAUUAUCUAAAAUUAAAUAAAUAAAUAAAUAAAUAAAUUGUAUAUUUUUUGUAAUAUUAAAUAACAUGGCUAAUUAAUAUUACCGUGCAAACCAAAUACAGGAAUUCCACAUUCUUAGUAAUAGGAUGAAUAUGAAUAAGAUUCUCGAAUAUCUUUUAUUCCUAAUAAUCUUUCAUAAUGCGAACCAAACGCACCCUAAGGCUGCGUUUGGUUUGGGUAUAAGUAAGAACUGUUAGUUCUAGGGAUAGGUACAAGUUCAGGUAUAAGCAGGAAUUAGACCAAUUUUGCGUUUGGAUGAAAAUUGGGUUGUUCCUAGGAAUAAGGUAAAUAGUGUUUGGAUGGUUAGAUUGGAACAAGAGGAAUAAGAGUUAUAAUUUGAAAUUAAAAUUAUAUUAUGUAAUUAAUUAACAUCAAAAUAUUAUUUAAAAAUAAAUAAUAAAUUUAUUAUUAAUAAUUAAUUCUAAAUAAUAAUAAUUAUUAGUAAUUAAUUAUAAAUAAUAAAUUAAUAAUAUCGAUUAUCUAUUUAAUAAUUAUUAUUAUUAUUAAUUAUUAAUAAAUAAUAAUAAUUAUUAAUUAUUCUUAUUAAUUAAUUAUAAAUAAUAAAUUAAUAAUAAUAUUGAUUAUCUAAUUAUUAAUAAUAAUUAAUAUUAAUAUUUAUUAAUAAAUAAUAAUAAUUAUUAAUAAUUAAUUAUAAAUAAUAAAUUAAUAAUAAUAUCGAUUAUCUAAUUAUUAAGAAUAAUAAUUAUUAAUAAUUAUUAAUAAAUAAUAAUUAUUAUUAUUAAUUAUUAAUAAUUAAUUAUAAAUAAUAAAUUAAUAAUAAUAUUGAUUAUCAUUAAGAAUAAUAAUUAUUAAUAAAUAAUAAUAAAUAUUAUUAAUUAUUAAUAAUUAAUUAUAAAUAAUAAAUUCAUAAUAAUAAUUUCUAAUUAUUAACAAUUAAUUAUAAAUAAUAAAUUAAUAAUAAUUAUCUAAUUAUUAAUAAAUAAAUAAUUAAUUAUUUAAUUAUUAAAGUAAUAAAUAAUAAUUUAAAUAUAUUAAUUAGAUUAAUUAAUAAUUUACUGCCAUUAAAAUUAAAUUUAGAUUUUAAUUAAUAUUAUUCUCAUCAAGGAACAAGCUAGUUCCAGAAAGCGGGUGGAACAACAGUUCCAACCUUAUACUAGCUUGUUUCAGAAAUUCGGGAACUACUAUUUCCGGAAACCAAAUAUAUCGUUUGGAAAAAAAUAGAAGACCAAAGGCUUAUUCUUCUUUUUGUUCUUGAACCAAACGCUAUCUAGUAUUUGGGUAUAAAUUGGGGGUUAAGGAAUAACCCUUUAACACCAAUCAAACGGUGGCUUAAAGUAGGAAUUUUAUAAUUUAGCCAAAAAUGGGUUGUAUGUACCGUAACUCUCAAGUUUUUUCUCGCGUAGUACAACUGUGUCCAAAACCUGGCAUAGUGUACGGCACACGCACGGUCACAUCACUGCGUGGCUGUUAAUCCCAUCUCCCUCCCUCUCUCUCUCUCUCUCUCUCUCUCUCUCUCUCUCUCUCUCUAUACCUUCACAUCUCCAUUAAUGGAGCAUCAUAACGCCUCCGCCGGAUCUCGCAGCUACACUGACCGGCGUCUUUUCCGAGCUCCUCCUACCCCACCUCAUCAUCAUCAUCAUUCCGUUGUUUCCAUCACAUCAUGCCCAAAAUUGUGCCCAAAAGUGCAUAAACCCAUCGACACUGGAUCACUGAUUCACUGCACCCGUAAAGAAAAAAAAAAUCAAAACAAAAAACAAAAUAGUACUUGCGAGUGUUAUUGUCUUACUAAUGCAACCGAAAAAGAAUAAAAAAUUUUAGCAUUUCUUGCAUAAAAAAAUAGAAAGAAAUAAUAUUUAGCAUUUCACACACACACUGGCACACACAAUAUAUAUAUAUAUAUAUAUAUAUAUAUAUAUAUAUAUAUAUAUAUAUAUAUAUAUAUAUAUAUAUAUAUAUAUAUAUAUAUAUAUAUAUAUAUAUAUAUAUAUAUAUAUAUAUAUAUGAGUUGAGUUAGGAUACUUUUACAAGUAUCACCCCACUGGUGCUAUUAGGUUUUUAACUAUUGGAUCUACUUCUUGAUUACUAAUAGUUCUUGGAUCAAAUACUAUUCUACCUACCACCAUCUACCACCAUCAUCUCAACCUCACAUCUCUUCAUCCAAGGGCUAAAAAUACUAAAGCACCAUGGGGGUGAUACUUGUAAAAGUAUUCUAGCUCCACUAUAUAUAUAUAUAUAUAUAUAUAUAUAUAUAUAUAUAGUUGAGCUAGAAUACUAUCGAUAGCAAACGGGCUCCGUUGCCACCCAUUUAUUUUCGAUGAUCGAGCCUCCAAAUCGACGAUCGGUACCGUUGAACAUGAUCUAUACCACUUGAGAUGUUUAGAAAUCAAAUUUCAAAUCUUUUCAAUAUCAUUUGCGUAAUGAUCAAAGGGUUUUAAAAUUUGUAAUUUUAAAGGUCGAUAUGAGGCAUUUUCUUGUUUAACCGUGUAAAGAUAUCCAAAUCAAUUGAAUUUUUGUUAGAAAAUUCUUUAAACUAUUUAAAACAAGAUCUAUACAAUUGAUCUUGAAUACAAGACUUAUAUCAUUAUUUUUUAAAGAAUAUUUAUUUUCAGCCGUUCAUUUUUGCGUCCACUCGAUGAAAUAAGAGAAGAAUAUCGAAAAUGUAUGAAAUUUGAUUUCUAAACACUUCUUUUUCUUUUUCUUUUUCUUCGUUCUUUCUUUUCUCUCCGACCUUUAUCACCUCCACCACCUUCGCAGCCCUCAACGACGAUAACAAGAGCGGCGCAACCUUUUCUUCCUCCAUCUCCUCCUUUGCCGGCGUUGGCGGCCCUCGGCGACAGUAAUGAGGCAGCGCCGCCUCCUCUUCCUCCAUCUCCACCUUUGCCGACGUCGGAGAAGGAGAAGGAGAAGGAAACCUCAGAGCGGGCCCAAGUGAGGCGGAGCGAACAGAGGCGAUGAAAUCGUUUUUAUGUUUUGAGACUCCGAUGCGACGCGCGGAGUAGAGAGGCUUGCGUUUGUGAGGAUGGAAGUCGGAUCAAAAAGGAGGGCAAGGGAAGAGGAAGAAGAAGAAAAUAAUGAGGCGAUGAGGGUUGAAAAAUAGUGCAAUUUUUUUUUUUCUGAAAUAGUAUAAUUUUCGUCGAAAGAAUAUAACUUUUUAUUUCAAAGAGCGUAAUUUUUUUCUUAAAGAGUGCAACGUUCAUAUUAAACAGUUGAUUUUUUUGUAAAACAUAUGCAAUUUAACAGUACAAUCUUCAUCUUCUUUUCUUUUCUUUGAUUCUUGCACUUUUCGAUAGUAGUAACAAUAUAUAAUAAUUUUUUUAAAAAAAUUUAUUUAUUUUACUUUAUAUUUUUAUUUUUUUCUACCCUCUACAUUUUUGUUCGUCUCUUAGAGAUGGACACGUUUUUUUUGCCUCACCCUCACAAGCGACGAGCACGUUUUUAAUAACGACCUCAUUGUCUCCGUCCGCUCGGCACUCACCCAAGCCCGUUUUAAGUUCUUCUCCGGCGUCGGUGGAGGCGAAGAAAGAAAAAGCGUAAGAGUUAUGUAAUGAGUGUCAGAGAUAGAAUGAGUGUCAGAGAUAGAAGAUGGAAAAAGAGAUGACGCCGCCCUCAUUACGUCGGUGAGGCCGCAAAGACGGUGAAGAAGGUAAUGAGUGUCAGAGAUAAAAAAAAAUAUAAGAAAAGAUGAAAAAAUAAAAAUACUGUGAAUCAGUUGGCUAAAAAUUCAAUCCAAAUCUAAAAAAAAAAAAAAAAAAAAAAAAAAAAAAAAAANAAAAAGGCCCCAAAAGCUAAAUUUUUAUACAAAUUGGCCAACAAAUAACUUACUACUUUUUUAAAAAAGAUUUUUUUUAAAAACCACGGGAACAUUAAUUUGAGGUGCAUAAAGAGCCCAUCCCUUCCUAAAAUUGUAAACGCACCAGCAGCAGUACAGCAGCCUCUUGCACAAGGCUAACGUCUAACGUAUGACGCAACAUUCCUUCAAAACUAUCUCAGUGAUGGAUAAUACAAAACGUUGCCCAUGCCAUGCUCACUCUCAACUGUUCUAAUUCAUACACGUACAACUCAAAACCCUAGCAUGGUGUACGGCCCAAGCAAGGUCAAAUCACCACUCCCUCCCUCUCUCUCUCUCUCUCUCUCUCUCCUGUAUUAAUAAGCCAUAAAAGCAAAAGAGGCCAUGUUCAUUCCUUCACAUCCCCAUUAAUGGUAAUGGUAAUGGUAAUAGUAAUGUCCCAACAAAAUAAAGCGCCGGAUCACGGUGCUACACUGGAACAGCACCUUUUCCAAGCCCGAUCAUUCCUUCCACUCCCAUCAAAUCGAAACCACCGCAUACAAAACAACAGUGUGCAUAAAGUGCGAGCAAAUAUCAUAGAGAAGAUACAACAAGUCACUACAAUAACACUACAUAUGCAUAGUACAUUCUAGUAUGUAUAACACUGGUUAUAUAGCAAGCUAGGAAGCGUUGGUGAAGUUCGUAACUUAUACUAUCAUAAUAUUACACACUCUCAUAGGAAGCGUUAGUUUAGUUCAUAACUUAUAUAUCUAAUAUUACAACAUAGGGUUAAACUCUCUAUUAAAUAUAUCCAACCUUUCUCCCCUUCUAUCCAUCCAUCUCUCUCUCUCUAUAGUUGGAUAGAAAGGUAGAUAGGAGGAGAUGGCGUCGCUAACAAAGACCAAGUAUGCAUAUCCUAACUAUUCUUCACCCUUUUUCCUCCCUUUAAGGCCUGCAGGAGGCAGCGACGUGGGCGAAAGCCGCUUGCCAAUGAACUGCUGCUCCGGCCGACGGACGCCGUCGCGAGGAGGGUCGAAGGAGACAGGAAGGAACUCAUCGUAGCCGCAGAUGAAAACCGAGUUCUUGAAGUGCCUCAGAAGAGCCUCCAGGCCCUGGCAAACAUGAAAAAUUAACCACUACAAAUUUGAUGCACUUAUAGAGAAAUGCAAACUAGUACGAACAAUUUUGAACCGUUUGAAUCGAAACAAUACCUUAGAAGCACUCUCAAUACCAUUACUCCGCUGAAACAAAUAUUCACUCUCAAAGCCUAAAAUUUGCGAUCUAGCAUGAACUGAUCAUUCAAAUUCAACACUCGCACUCACUGUUUUUGAACUAGAAAAGAACUGUUAACCUCAAAAGGUCAUUUGAACUUGAAAAGAACUGUUAAACUCAAAAGGUCAAAUUAAGCUACACAAUUACAUAAAACCUAACUUCAGUUCGAGCACUACUCGUGAAAACACAAACGCGAGAAAAAAACAAAAUAAAAAAAACGAAUUCCCAACCACUGAAUGAACCGCGUGUCAAAACACAGCAUUUUAAUCAUUUACGUCCGCUUAUAGUGUACUCAACACCUCGAUUAUCAAUAACUUGUAACAAAUGAGAGAUCACUUUGAAUCUAUUACACGCCGAGAACACGCGUACGUUGAACACCCAAAACUACGAACUAAAUAGACCCCCUAAAAACAAGCACGGAAUUAGGAUUCCUUUUGAACAGUGCACGUACCUGAAUCCGAGCGUAGGUCACCUCGCACACCUUGCGGGAUCCGUGGAGCUUCCACUCGUAGUUGUGAAGGAACCUAUGCAACCUCCACGCCGCGGCGGGGGUGGUGAAGUUCACAAACGCGUACCCCAAGUUGCUCCCACUCCUAUUUCAACAAAUAUCGAGCACGAAUUUCAACGCAAGCAACGUAACGCGCGGAAGGAAUUAUUGGGUUUUUUUUGUCAUUAAUUGCUACACCUGAAGUCGAUUGGGAGGUAGAAAAAGUCGAACUCGCUGGAGUCGUUUUCCAGCGACCCUUCGCCGUCUUCCCCGCGCUUUAAAUAUCGCGACUUCUGGUUUUCCUCCACACAGUGCUGGUCCAGUAUGCAAAUCAACUUCUCCUUCCUUCAAUUUUUUUUUUUUUUUUUAAGAACCCACGGUUUAUUACAAAUGAAACUAUGUAGAGAGAUUAAUAUAAACAUCAAAAAUAAAUACUCUUACGUGAAUUUGUUGGGCAGGUUCUUGAUCAUGACCGUGGUCUUGUUCUCUUCAUUACAACCGAACUCGAAUUCUGCGCACGCCCUCCUCUUCUGCAACAGUGGCACGGAUGAAUGCAGCAGCUGCGGCGGAGAAGCCGAAGAAGGCUUCCGCCGGCUCUUCGGCUUCGGCUUCGGCGCGAAGAUCUUCUUGCGCCCGAAGCACCCGUAGCUCCUCACUCUCACAUCCUCCUCCGCUGCGUUGGCGGUGGCGGUGGCGUUGUCGCCUGCUGUGGUUUGAUGAUCCCUUUCCUUGAACUCUUCGAUAAUGGCUCUCUGGCCAGGGAACGAUAGGGGGGGUGAGGUGAAGUGGUGGUGGUAGUAGCAGGAGUAGAGGGUUUGGGGGAGCGGGUGGUAGUAGUAGAAGGGUUGAGGGGGCGGAGAGGAGGCGUAGAGGAGGGAGGUGUGGGAGGGGGUUUGGUGGUACUCGAAGUAGAAGGGUUGUUGUUGCUGUUGUUGUUGUUGUUGUUGUUGUUGUUGUUCAUGGAAAGAAGGGUUUGGGAGGAGGAGAAGGGGUUGGGAAGAGUACAAAGAGGAAGGUGGGUUGUAGAGCUCUAGCGUAGUAGGAUGGUAGAGAAGCGGCGAGGGGUAGUAAACUGGGGCGUUAGGGUUUAGUGAUGCAGUAGCCAUGGUUGUGUAGAGAAAGAGAGAGAGACAGAGCGAGAGGGAGAGGAGAACAGACAACGAGAAAAAGGAAACAACACAACGAGAAAAAGGGAACAACUGAAGAGGGAUAUUUAUAAAGAAGGGUUUAAUAUACAGAAGGAGAAGGAUUAUGAGAGAGAGAGGGGGGGGGUGGGAGAGCGAUUGGAGGGGGGGAGGGGGGGUGGGGGAUGGUUGGAAAGGGGGGUGGGGUGGGGGAGGGAUUGGAAAGGGGGCGCAAGUCUCAUUAGCAUGUUUUAAUGCAUGGAUUCGGGCUCGGAGAUCAUGCGCAUGUUAGCCUAGCUCUCCUAAGGGAAAAUUUUUUUUUCUUUUUUUUUUCUUUUUUCUUUAACUUUUUUUUAAAAUUUUUGGGUGUAGUUUAAUAUAGUAGUAGUACCUGUCCUAUAAUCUCAUACAAUUAUUGGUAAAAAUAAAUAAAAUUUGUUUUAAUUAUAAAUUAUUUUUAAUUAAUUAUCUAUUUUUUUAAAAAAAAAUUUAAUUUUAUUAUUUAGUUUUUCAAUAUGCUUGAUUUAACCCGGUUAAUAAUAUUAUAAUAAUACUCUAAUUUCAAAUUUUAAAUACGUUGUAUAUCAUAACAGAUUAGCUAGUAUAUAUACAUUGUAUAAUUUUUUCAACUAUAAAUUCUUUAUAGUAGGUAUUUUACUUAAAUUUUGAAGUGAAAAUCACAUUGGCUAACUCAAAUCAAAUAAAUUUAAAAGUUAAAAAUAAAAGCACAAUUUUAAAAGAUUUAAUAGCAGAUUCAAAAUGGUCACUAGUUCAGAUAAAUUAUGUACAUUUUUACUUAUAUUAUUUUAAAAGUAAUACUAUUUGUACAUUUUUAUAAUAUAUAAAUAUAAAUUUUAUAAUUUUGUCUCUUAAAAAUUCAUAUUUAUUUAUUUAUUUAUCUUUUCAAUCUCUUUUUACUCUUUUUUUUUUUUGAAAAAAUAUUUAACUCUUAUAUGAUAAUAUAAGUAUUAAAUAUAACUAUUAAACUAUCUAAAAGGUUUAUAUAAAUGUUUUAUAGUAAUGUUGUCUUUAUUUACAUUUCUUGACAGGGUAUAAAUUAUACACCCCACUCCUCCAAAAGACUUUUUUUUAUUUUUAUCAACUAUUUUUUUACUAAAAUUUAUAUAAAUUAUUGUGAAUUCUAGAAUAUAAAGAAUGUAAAAUGUAUAUCUAUAUUUACAUUUAUGGAGAGUAUUUUUUAAUUUCUUAUAUCGUGAUCAUGUGGAUUGAAUAAUGGCUCUUAAAGAAAAUUCUAUAUUAUUAAUUUUUUUUGUAAUCUUGAUAUUUUGGAAAUAUAUUCUUCUAAAAAAGAGUAGAUUAUCUUUUGAAUAGGUAAAAAAUUAUUAUAUAUGACAAAAUUUAGAAAUUAAAAUGAUGCGGUGACAAGAACGUGUUCCAAUUUGCAAUAGGUAUAUAGAUUGUCGAAAGACCACCGUUGCAAUAUUUACCGACCGUCCUUAGUGUAAGUAAAAAUGAACUUGUUGAUUGAUACCCGAGAUCCCAAGUUUGAAUUCUAAUUGAUUUAUAUUUCCAGCUAAGUUUAUUUCUAAAUGAAUAAAUAAAACGAGUAGCAUGCUACUUAUCUCUCUCAAAGAAAUAUAUAUAUAGAACUAGGCUACUAUACUAUCGGUAGCACGGAGCGCUUCGUGCUACCAAGUUGUUUUCGAUGAUGCGGUUUCCAAAUCGACGAUCGGCUUCGUUAGACUUGAUCUACACUAUUGAAAGUAUUUAGAAACUAAAUUUCAUAAUUUUUCGAUAUCAUUUACCUAUCAAACAAGUAGUCUAAAAUUGAACGGCUGAAAAUAAAAAUCUCAUGAAAAAUGAUGAUAAAAGAUUUAAAUUCAAGAUCAGAUAUACUGAUCUUACUCUAAAUAGUGAAAAGAAUUUUCUAUACAAUUUUCAUCGCAUUUGGAUUGUUUUACACCGUUAAACUCACAAACACACCACAUCGGCCAUUAAAAUUGUCAAUUUUGAGAUCUUUUGAUCACUAGUCAAAUGAUGUCGAAAAAAUCUGAAAUUUAGUUUCCAAAUACUUUCAAUAGUGUAGAUCAAGACUAACGGAGCCGAUCGUCGAUUUGGAAGCUGCAUCAUCGAAAACAACUUGGUAGCACGGAGCGCUCCGUGCUACCGAUAGCAUAGUAGCCGGACUCUAUAUAUAUAUAUAUAUUUUUUUUCUUUAUUUUUGGCAUGUUUUUUGGAGCCUAUUUUUUUUUUCUUUAAAGGAGAACCUUUUUUUUUUUUUUUUUUUUUUUUUUUUUUUUUUUUGGCGUCGUGCUUUGUUUCACAACUCUUGCAAUAAAAAGAGAACUCGGUUAGAAGGGAUUGGGUGGUGAAGGGGUGUUUGCGAUCUCCUCUGAUUCUGAUUUGCUGCUGCCUCUUCAAGUGCUUUUCUUUAAAAGCAGUUGAGUCCAUUGAAGGUGGACCAGCGAAAAUAAGGGGAUAUUGUUAAUGUUGCUGUUACUUUUUUUGUAUUUUCCAAUCAUGUAACAUUAAUGAAAAUUCCAAUUUCUUAGGACUCAAUAAUUGAAUUGCUAAAAAUAGGAAUUGCGACUACGAAGCUCUUUAUGAAAUUAAGAUUAAAAAACAGAAAAGAAUUAAAAAAAAAGAUCAAAAGAAGAAAUAAAUAUAAAUAACAUCAUGAAGUUUAUAUUGAUAUGAUAUACUAAAUAAAUAAGUAAGUUUGAUUUUCUCUUUUGUACAAUUCAUUUCUUCUUUUUGAUAAUGUAGAUUUAUCAAACUUUUUUGAUAAUGUAGAUUUAUCAAACUUUUUAAAUAAUAAUUAAGAGAGAAAAAUAAAACAAAAGAAAUCUGCUCAUAUAAGGUAAAAUUUAGUUUCUUACAUUAUUCUUUCAUUUAUCUGGAAAAGCAAAAAAAAAAAAAAAAAAUUAUAAAUCUGGAUGAGGCUAAGAAUAAUUUGUAUUUUGAUUUUUUUUUUAUUUUUGAUGAUUAUACUAUUUUUUUGGGGGGUCCAUAAAGAAUUUUAAAAAAUGAGAUAUUGAAAAUUAAAAAUUUAGGCCCAAUUUGAAUGUAUAAAUAUUUUAUUCAGUAUAUCUUAUUAAUUUAAUUAAGAAAUAGAUUUAGUAGAUGAGAAGUAUCUAGAAUUGAAUAUAUAUUUAGCUUUCAAAAUAUUUAAUUAUCCUAUUAAAUUAUAUUUAUUAAAAUCUUUAAAAGAAUAUAAAUCAAACUUAUUUUUUACAAUUAUACUAAAAAUUUCUUAUAAGGAAUAAAUUAUUCCUGAAUGCAUUAAUAUCUUAUUCUUAAUUGAUAAAAAUAUGAUCAAAUAUUUUAAAUAGAAUAAUAUAUUGGGUCUUUUAAGUCAUUUUUCGAUUGAAAUAUUUAUUAUCUUAUAAGUAAAAUAUAUUAUUUUACCAAAUAAUAAAUAUUAAAAUUGUUAGAUUAUAAGGUUUUUUUUUUUAUGAAAGGUUGUGUACUAUAUGAAAGAAUUUGUCCUUUCGUAAGGUUAUAUUUCUUAGUUUAAGAUUGCGUCUCUUAGCUUAGAGUCGUCCUUUAGUAGAAAAAUUCUUGUUUUAUUGAAGAGUUGUGUUAUUUCGUACUCUAUAAAUAAUGAGUACGUUAAUUGUUGGAGUUAUGUAGAUUAAGUUAUAUUAAUAAAUUUUUGUGUAUUAAAAUUUAGAUAUAUUUAAUAAAGUUUGUUGUUUUAGUAUUAAAUACUUUUAUAUUUUUUAAAUAAUUUAUUUAAUAAUUGAUUAAUAAAAAUAUUUAAAAAUAAAAAUAUUUUUUUAUAAUAUUAAAAAAUUUUAUACCAAAUAAACUAUUCUCAUUCAGCCUAUGCAACCAAUUAUUACUGCUCAAAAUUGAUGAUUCGAAAUUCUCGUAAAAGGGACUGUUAAUUAAUAUUAUCUAAUACAUUUAUUACAUAGCCAUUUUUACUCCCGCGUACAAGUGAAACGACUUGUCCAUGAGAUAUAUAGGUAGAGAGAUCCAAACGAGUACGUGCAUGCGCAAGGAAACAAAGAGCUCUCUUGCGUGUCACUCUCGGUCUCCUUUUUUGUGUGAUCUCACUCGAUUGUUUCCAACUUACGAGAUGGGGAAGCUCGAGAAACAAAAUGAGUUUAGAUUUUGUAUAAAUAGAGAGAGAGAGAGAGAGAGAGGUGAGAUGAAAAGUUAUCAUCAGCUGACGAAUUUCCUCAUAAUCUAUUUAUAUUUUUAUGAUUGAGUAUCCGAACAUAAUAUAUACUAUUUAAAAUAUGUAAAAAUUAAAUUACAAAUCUUGUUGACAUCAUUGAUGUUAUGAUCAAAGAGUUUCUAACUUUAUAAUUUUAAUAAUUAUAUGAGGCGUUUUCUUGUUAACGUGGCGCAUAAAGAUAUACAAAACAUUUGAAGUUUAAUUACAAAAUUUUUUAAACUAUUUAAAAUAAAAUCUAUAUUCUAAAUUUUGAUUACAAAAUUCAUAUCAUCACUUUUUGAGAAAUAUUUAUUUUCAAUCGUUCAUUUUGGUAUCCAUUUGAUAGAGUAGACAACAAUAUCGAAAAAAUACGACAUUUAGUUUAUAGAUGUUUCAAGUGAUAUAGAUAAUAUCUAAUAAUGCCGAUCAUCGAUUUGGAGGCUCCAUCAUUGAAAAUAAAUAGAUGACAACGAAACUUAUUGGCUACAAGCAUUUCGGCUCAACUCUAUAUAUAGAGAGAGAAAGAGAGAGUUAUAUUUCUAUAAUAUCUAUAAUGUGCGUGCUCUAGCACUAUUAAAUAUAAAAAUAAAAAGAUAUCAUUUUUUACUAGUUUAAGUUUUCAGUGUUCGGUUGAAGGAUAAAGUGGGAAUAGACCAUUUUAUCCCUCUAAUUCAUCUAAAUACUAGAGGGGGGAAUAGGUUUAUUUAAUCCCCUCUUAACGAAAUAAUCUGAUAAGAGGGAGAAAUUAUUGUUCCACCAUUUUGGGGAAUAACGAUUUCUUUUUUUUAUACCUCUACUAAUUAAAUAAUAAAAUACUAUUUGUUAAUAGAUUAUAUAUUAUUUUAUUAAUUAUUAAUUAUCUAAAUUAAUAAUUAACUAAUUUAAUAAUAAAAUAUCAGGCAAAUUAAUAAUUACUAGUGUAGAGACCCGCGCGAUGUGGCGGAUAAAAAUAUUUUAGUAAAAAUUUAUAGAUUUAAUAAACAUAUUAAAAUGUGAAAAAAAUUUAAUAAUAUGAAAAACACAGAAAAACUUUCAGAACGAAAUUACAAUCUCACGAAAAAUAAUGUAAGAAACAAAAAAAAAAGUAAAAAGUAUAGGAGUAAAAAAAUAAUUAUAUAAAUAGCCUGAAGAGAUAUUUAGAAUAUUGUAAAAAAAUAUAACAAAUAAUAAAAGAUAAACUGAAGAGGCUCAAAUUUAUAUUUAACUACUCAUAUAAAAAGAUUUAUCUAUCCUAUUCUCUUUCUUACCUAAAAUCAGAUUUCUUUUAAACACCAACUAUUAUUGCGUUUAUUUGUGAACAUCAAAAUUUCAAUGCCACUAUAGAAUUAGUACAGAAUGCAAGGGAAUCGAAGAAAAAGUAGUAAGAAAUAUAUGACAGCCAUGUAAAUAAAUUUUAAAAAUAAUAAUAGUUAGUUUUAACUAUCUAAAUUGUAAAGAUCCAUUUUUAUACAUCCAUGAACCAAAUAACCUAUAUAUUAUUUUAGUCUGUCGAUACAAUAGGACAAUUUAAUCAAUGCUCUUAUUAAUUUUACUUUGUCAAUUUUUAUAUAACUCAAAUAACUUAUUUAUGAAUGGUAGUGUACAAUAAAAAAAAACUUAAGGAAUAAAUUCUUCUUUCUUUAAUUAUCACUUAUUAUGAGGCAACGCUUCGUAAAAAAUAAAAAUUAAUGAGCCAGUAAGCCGAAGAGGUAAUGAUUUUACGGAGGAGACGAACGGGCACACUGUGGAGAAGCGAACAAAGAGCAAAGUGAUUAGAGCAUAACAUUUAAUAAGGGGGAAGUCGAAAAGGCAACGAUGCUACGGGGAAGAUGAGCGGACACACUGUCGUGGAGCGAACGAAGAGUAAAGCGAUUGAAGAGUAGAAAUCGAGAAAGGGAGAGACUCUGGAUGUGAGUCCCAUGGGCAAAACUUAAGGAAAGCAAGCCACGUGGAUUAAGAUUAUGGAGAUUAAUAGUGUUUUAUAGAUAUGAGGCAACGUUUCGUAAAAAAUAGAAAUUAAUGAGCCAGUAAGCCGAAGAGGUAACGAUUUUACGGAGGAGACGAACGGGCACACUGUGGAGAAGCGAACAAAGAGCAAAGUGAUUGGAGCAUAACAAUUUAAUAAGGGGGAAGCCGAAGAGGCAACGAUGCUACGGAGAAGGCGAGCAGAUACACUGUGGUGGAGCGGACAAAGAGCAAAGCGACUGAAGAGUAGAAAUCGAGAAAGGGAGAGACUCUGGAGGUGAGUCCUAUGGGCAAAACUUAAGAAAGGCAAGCCACGUGGAUUAAGAUUAUGGAGAUUAAUAGUAUUUUAUAGAUUUAGUGUGCUUAUACAAUAACUAAUAUCUAUAUUGAUUAGUCAAUUAAUAUUUUAACCAAUAUAACUAAUUAAAUAAAAGUGCUUAAUUAAUUUCUUACUUUAUUGAUAUAUUAAUUUAUUAGCUUAGUUUGUUAACUUAUCAAAUUAUUUAUAGUUAGUUAAUUUAUUAAUUAAUAUUACUCGUGAUUAAUUAAUUAAUGAUUAAUUAAUGUCCUAAUUAAUUUAUUAAUUAACAUUUAUGACUAUCUAAUAAUAUUCAUGAUAAAUUAAUUAAUUAAUUAAUUUAUUAAAUAUCAUUUACUUAAUAUUUUGUUGCCGAUUAAUUAUAUACAAUAUUAUUAUUUAACUAUUAUAAUUACUCUUAUUUCUAUUAUUUCUAUCUAACUAUUCAAACACAAUUUUUCUUAUUCUCGAAAAUAACCACUUUUGAGCCAAAUAUAAAUUAAAUUGAUCUUUAACAACUAUAUAUUCAUAUAUUUCAAUGAAAGGUUAAUUCAGGGAUAUGCGCGCAUUAUGCAUGGACUUAAAAAAAAAAAAAAAAAUCCCCAAACCAAGUGAUACCUCAUACCUCCCACGUUGAUUCCAUUCGCAGAUACGUGAUAUAUCAUAUUCUGGAACUUAUAUGGGCCUGCUUUGGACCUAUAACUCUCUAACAAAACUGUUGUUUGUUUUGAUGUCCUCAGGCUUCACCCAAUCAGUCGUCGAGCCUAGGUAAUCCGGCCCAAAAAGACUUCUUAAUUCCUUACCUUCUGGUGAGUCCGGCUGGGAUACUAUCGAUAACACCAAUGGUUUGAUAUUAGCGAGUUUUCAACCGUUAGAUUUAACUCUUUAAUUAUUUUUACCAGUUAGAUUAUACUAUUCAACCAACCAUCCACUCAACCCUAGUGGCUCCAUAUCAUCCUAAUCGCACAUUUCUUAAUCCAAGAGCUAAAAAACUAAUAGCACCAAUAGCUUGGUGCUAUUAAUAGUAUUCCAGCUUAGUUCCUAGACCUGGCAAUCUUGACCCAAACUCGCAGAUACCCACGGGUUACCCACAAAUUUGCGGGUAUGAGUAUCAAUUUUUCCAACCCAAAAAAUUAUGGAUAAAACGGGUGGGUACCCAUUAAGCAGUGGGCAUUUUGGGUAACCCGUGGGUACCUACGGGUACCCGCACAUAUAUUUUUUAAUUACAAAAUAUAUUUUCUUAAUUAAUAUAUAUUUUUUAUUUAUCCAUCCUAAAAAUUUUAAUCCUAGUUUCUUAUUACGUGUCUUUUAUAUUAUGAAAUAUUUUUGUUUUAAAAUUUUAAAUAUUUUUACUGUAUGUUAUAAUAUUUUAAACAAUGAGUUAUAUUACGCUUUUAAAACUUAUAUAUAUGUGUUUUGCAUUUAAAAAAUAUAAGAGCCAAAAAAAAAAUUUGCGGGUAACCCCCAUACCUACCCGCCCACCCGCGGGCGGGUAUGGGUAAAGAUGUUGACUACCAAAAAAUUUAUGGAUAAAUUUUAUCCAUGCCCAAGUAAACCGCGAGUACAAUAACCCGCCCGCGGGUUAUCCAACCUGCCCGUUUGCCAGAUCUAUUAGUUCCCUUCUAGUUGAACUUCAACGGGUAUUCACUAAAAUAUUUUAUCCUACUAUGUUCAAACACACGGUGAGUAUAAGUUUUUCACUAUAACAAAAACAGUAUACAGCGAUACUUUUAAAUAUCGGUAUAUGUCAAAAAAAACACUGUUGGCUAAAUUACCGACACUUUUUAAAAGUGUUGCUACAUAUGCAGUUGCUAUAUAUGGGGUCACCUUGAUGUCUGGCACCUAGCGAGCUCGGUGGAGUUGGUUGAAUAGAGAAACUUUUUAUUUUUUGUUGGAUUGGAGUUUAUAUUUAAUUAGAGUUUAGUAGUUUUUGUUUAAAAAAUUUGGCAUAAAUGAAACAUUUACAUAAAAGUGUCCAAAAAAUGUAUCCCUAUAAUCUAAUUCUGUUCUAGUAAUUGACAAGUUUGGCCGAGUUACUAAGUGUUGAGUACAAAUGCAUUUAAAUGAGAGAAAUAUAGUAUA
rnacentral:lncRNA from 1 species